rnacentral:lncRNA from 1 species
AUCAUUAACUUGGCCGUAGCAUGUAUUUAUAAUACAUGUCUCUUAAUUAGAGUCUAAUUCUAAUUCAAUUAGAAUUACACUCCUAAUAAUAAUCCAUAUAUGCCAAAUUAAAUCUAAAUAAUAUCUAAUCCUAAUUAGAUUAGGAUUUAUCCUCAAUUUAGAUAACUACAAAUCUAAACCAAAUAUAACAAUCUACACCUUGGUUUAAUUUGUAGUUUAGCCGUCGCUAUGUCGAGGUCGCCACAAAACUCCACUUUGAAUUUAAUUCGCUUUAAUGCUUCUUAACGCUCCGUGUUCCGUCUUCUCCAAACGCCCUAUAGGACCUCAAAUGCUGCUAACUGCCACCAAGUCCAAACAAUGUUUGAAUUUGGCAAUAGUAAGGGACUUUGUAAGCAUAUCCGUCGGAUUGUCUUUAGUACCAAUUUUUUUAAUAGUCACUGUGCGCUUCCCAAUCACAUCCCGAACAAAGUGAAACUUUACAUCGAUGUGCUUUGUCCUCUCAUGAAAUAUUUGAUCUUUAGACAAAUGAAUAGCACUUUGACUGUCCGAAUAAACAAUCGUCGGAUCCCAAAAAGAAGUAAGCUCACCAAAUAAGCUUCUUAGCCACAUAGCUUCCUUCACACCCUCUGUCAUAGCAAUAUAUUCCGCCUCCGUCGUAGACAAGGCGACAAUAGAUUGUAGUGAAGCUUUCCAACUAACUGCACAUCCGCCAAUAGAGAAUACAUAAUCUGAAAGUGAUCUCCUCCUAUCCAAAUCACCAGCAAAAUCUGAAUCAACAUAUCCAACCACACCAUCCUUACACCUCCCAAACUCCAAACAAGUGCUAGUGGUACCUCGUAAGUAUCUCAAAAUCCACUUAACAGCCUGCCAAUGAGCCUUACCAGGAUUGGUCAUAUAUCUGCUAACCAUGCUCACUGCGUAGGAGAUGUCCGGCCGUGUGCAAACCAUGGCAUACAUGAUGCUCCCGACAGCACUAGAAUAGGGAACAUGUGACAUGUACUCCCGCUCAUUAUCGGACUGCGGUGAUAACUCGGCGGAAAGUCUGAAAUGCGCCGCAAAAGGAGUGCUCACUGGUUUUGCGUUUGUCAUCCCGAAACGCUUUAGAAUCUUCUCUAUAUAUUUCUCCUGUGUCAAAUGCAGUAGUCUUGACUUAUUGUCCCUCUUAAUUUCCAUACCAAGAAUUUUCUUAGCAGCACCUAGAUUUUUCAUUUCAAACUCACCCUUCAGUAAAGUCUUUAAUUUAUUUAUCUCAACUAUGUCGCUGGAAGCAAUUAACAUAUCAUCGACAUAGAGCAACAAAUAUAUGAAAGAUCCCUUAUCAAGCUUUCUAAAAUACACGCAAUUGUCACGCUUGCUUCUGGAAUAUCCGUGACCUGUUAUGAAGGAGUCGAACCGCUUAUACCAUUGUCGAGGAGACUGCUUUAAGCCAUAAAACGAUUUCUUUAAUAGGCAAACAUGGUCCUCCUUCCCUUCAACAAUGAAUCCCUCCGGCUGUUUCAUAUAAAUUUGCUCCUCAAGUUCUCCAUGCAGAAAAACUGUCUUAACAUCAAGCUGCUCAAGAUACAGGUCAUUCAUGGCUACUAACGAUAAAAGAACACGAAUAGAAGUAUGCUUUACGACGGGUGAGAAAAUAUCAUUAAAGUCCACACCUUCUACCUGACUGUAGCCCUUAGCAACUAAACGAGCUUUAUACCUUGUAUCUUCCACAUCGGGGAUUCCGUCCUUUUUCUUGAAGACCCACUUACAGCCGACAAUUUUCUUGUCUGUAGGCGGUUUUACCAACUCCCAUGUGCGAUUCUUAUAGAGAGACUCCAUCUCCUCAUUCAUCGCCACUAACCACUCUGCAGAACUGGCACUCGAAAUAGCUUGAUUAUAUGUGGAAGGUUCACCUUCUUCUUCUGUGUCUUGUGCCACUGAAAGAGCGUACGCAACCAUAUCUUCAUAACCGUAUCUCUGCGGUGGUUUUAUCUGUCUCCUCGCUCUGCGUGUAGCAAUGCUCUGCCUCUCAACUUGUGGGGUUUCAGUUAUUGAGGUGUCUGUCGACUGAACUUGUUCUGACUGAGAAGAAUCCUGCGACUGAACUAUACCAUCGGUCUCUACCUCCACCUGCUUGCUAGCACUCGGGGUCUCAUCAAAAAAAUUACGGUUAGGAUAUAACAUAGCAGAUUCAUCAAAUGUGACAUCCCUACUAAUAAUUAAUUUAGACGAUUCAGGACACCACGAUCUAUAUCCCUUAACCCCCGAUGCAUAACUAAUAAAAAUGCACUUUUUAGCCAUAGGUUCUAACUUGCCUUCAUGGUCAAACCCAGAUUUUAUUGUUCAGAGAAUAGAAUAUCUAUGGACUGGUCUAAACAGUGUGGGCAUCUUCCAAUUCCAUGUACUUGAUCCAGUAAUGACUUUGAUUAUUUUCCUCUUUUAUAUGAUUGUAUAUUUGUGUUAUGAGCAAUAAUUAAAUUAAUGAGCCAUAAAGUAUAUAUAUACCACUUCUGCAUAGCAUCAGAGUUCAUCCAUCAUACACGUGAGCUUUGGUUUACCGGGGAAGGAGCUUAACAACUCUACCAUGCGUUCAUUCAUGAGAGUCAAUGACGCUCCUUAGUUUAGACCUUGAUAAAUUGUAACAAAACAUAACCUUUGUUCUCUGAUGGGAAACAUCAUAAGAUUAAUCUUGAGACUAUUGUCACUAAUUUGCAAGAAAUAUUGUAAUUGGCAGAACCACAGUAUCUACUUCUGCACAAUUUUUGGUGCAGAGAGUCAUGUCAACAACAUCAAGUUAACUGAUAAGUUAUUACUGCUUAGAGCAGCUUCUUGUUUUUCUUCUUCUUUUUUUUUUUUCUUUGCUAGCUAGGCUAUAAGAUUAGGGUUCAAAUAUUAGGGGUGUGCAUUAUGACCUAAGAAUAUCCUCGAGAAGAAAUUUAAAAAAAAAAAAAACACAGACAAAUCUCCCCAUCUUGAAACAACACAAAUAAAAAUAAAAAAGCAAAUAAAAGAUUUUUCACACAAAUUGGAUUCUGCAGCACUUUGGAAAACUAACCGUAAAGUGCUAAUCAUAAGACUGAAAAAAAUGAAAUUAAAACAAAGACUAAAGUCAAGGAGGCUUAUUGCACAAAUUAAUAUCACCGUUCAUCAAAACCUCUUUAUUUGAACAUGAGUCUUAUUUUAAAACUAAACAUCUUCAUUGAGAGAAAAGCCAGAGUCUCAUAGUUUCACCUGACCCGCUACUAAAACAAAACCUUAAUAAGACUACUGAUGCCUCACCCAUGGAGACCUAUUUAAUCCUUAUUCAGCGAAAACAUCGACGCAAUGCCCACGUACCUGAGUAUCAUUUGAGCCAUUCUCAUCCCACACAAAAUUACACAGGUAUGUAGGUAUAGGAGGAAUGUUGACCUCUUGAACUCCCUCCAGCAUCUGAACAACUAGUCCCAUUGCUGGCCUACUGCUUUCAAGUUCUUGAAUGCACCAACAAGCAACUCUACAUGCUCUUUCGAGCUCUUCGCUGUUUGCUUCACCCUUCAACUUGUUGUCUAACAAGCAUGCGACCUCGCCUUCGUGGAUUUUCGCUGCGGCCCAAGUAGGAAAAUACACAUACGUUCCGUCUUCCGACCUCUCCGUGUUUCUCCUGCCAGAAAUUACCUCGAAAAGCAUCAUCCCGAAGCUAUAAACGUCGGCCUUGUGCGUGAUAGCUAGCCCCGAUAUCCACUCCGGCGCGAGAUAUCCUAUUGUCCCCCUCAUAGUUGUCAGGACCCGGCUUCCGUCUCUCGUGAAGAGCUUCGCCAUGCCGAAAUCUGCGAUUCUUGGAGAUAAAUGCUCAUCCAAGAGUAUGUUUUCCGGUUUAAUAUCACAGUGUAUGAUGAAGUCCUUGCAUUUCUCAUGGAGAUAAGCUAAGCCUCUCGCAAUUCCAAUUGCUAUUCGGUAUCGCUGGUUCCAAUCUAAGAAGGUAUUGGAAUUAGUUUUUGAAAAUAAGUGAGAGUCUAAAGAGCCGUUCGUCAUGAACUCGUAGACGAGCAAUCUUCUAGCUCCUUCCGCACAAAAGCCGAGGAGGCGAACUAUGUUAAUAUGCUGAAUCAUACCGACCGUGAUCACCUCUGCUCUGAAUUGCUUCUCUCCCUGCCUGAGUCCUUGGAGUUUCUUCACGGCCACAAGCGUUGAAUCACGCAACGUCCCCAUGAAAACACUUCCGAAGCUCCCUUGGCCCAGCUUCCUUGAGAAAUUCUUGGUAGCACUCGUCAGAUUAGAGUAGGAGAACACUCGAAAACUCUUCGAAUAAAUUGGGUCUGUAGUGCGUGAUCUUUUCUUGCAUCUCCAAGUAACGAUCAAACCGACAGCCAAGACAGUCGCAGUCCCUAAUACUACACCUACGCUCAGUCCUAUAAGCGACCGCUCUGGAUGCUUAUUUCUUCUCCGAGAAUCUAUUUCUGUUCGUAUGCUAAUUGGCGAGCCAUCGGAGCAAUGAUCGCAUAGGGCCGAAUCGAUCAAAUCUCCGUGCCAUAACUUGCAGCCAAAACUAAAAGAGUAAGCGGUGCAAGAACAAUUACUUGUGCAGGCAGACUCACAUUCUUCAUGAUCACUGGCAGGGAAACUUUGAGGAUUGUCAGGUAAGUUCUCAAAAAUAUAACCCCUAUAGCUCGAGCUCUCAUUCUUGCAACUCAGAGGGGUGACUCUGCGACAUCCAUUGAUGCAAUCUCCUCCUUCACAAGAUUGUGGGUCAGUCGGUAAAAAUCCCUCUGGGCAUAUGCAUUGCAUGCUUGUUGCAUUACAGAUACCAAAAGGCCCACAGUAGAAACGGACAACGCAAGAAGAAAAGGGAUAAUACUGAAGAAAGCACCCCACAGAGGGAUUCUCCGAACAUGUAUGCCUGUAAAUCCACUUACCAUCCAAAACAAUAAUAGUAUAGCCAUCUCUGCCAUGAAAAGUGAAAGUGCCUCUUUGGCUAUCUUGAUGAAUAUCUAUCACGGUAGGAACAACUAAAUGCUGGACAGAGUGAUCAUACUCACCUGAUCCGUUCGUUUGUAACACGAACUGGGGACUUCCAACUGUCUCUACAUCGAGUGAAGAGUAGUAGGAGGGAUCAACAUAAAAUGAAGUUAAGAAGAUGUGAUUCCCGGUGGACCGGUCGAACCCAAGUGGUGCUCCUGGGAGCCACGUAUCGGAUGGGUGAUCAAAGCUCUGCCACAACACAUUUGAAGAGUUCAGUCCAUCUCGCAGAACCAGGUUUCCGCUGUCUAGCAGAACUGCAACUGUCGAAUUACUCGCCGCCGGUGAUGUCACGUUGGUCGACCAAAUUAAACUGCCAUCUUUGGAGAGGAGGAUUAAAUUACCGUCAUCGGAGAUACUUAGCUGCAAAUCGUCGGUGGUGACCACGGUGCUAUCUAUAUAUACAGACCAAACUGGGACCUCGAGAUUAUAUUUCAUGCACCAAAUGGCGGGGCGAGCAUAGUAGAAAUCAUCUGGCGUGGGCAAAAUCAGCUCGAAAUCUCCGUUUUCGGAGACGAUGGGCUGGUUACUGGUGAGAGGAUUGCCGGCGGUGAUGGUGUGACGUGCCGCGACGGCAUGGAGGUUGCAACAGCAGAAAACAAAUAUGGGAGCGAGGAGAAACAGCAGCUUUGGCUCUUCGGAGUUCAUCGGAGGUCUCUUCAAGAGAAUCUGGGGAUUAUUUGCAGAACAAAACUCUGCAUGCAGCAACCUCAAACAAAGAUGAUAAAAACGAUCCAAGUUUUCGAAACGCGCCUUCUCUUGUUUGGUUCAGGUGCGAAAUUUGUGGAGCACACUAAAGUUGAAUCCUAUUGGUCAGCUUCCUCCAAGCCAAAGUGGUAGACUCUCUUGACCGACUCUUUACUUUUCUACAGUCAAAUUAAGUGCCCAUAUUUCUAGCACGAGGACUCUAAAUUUUUUUUUUUAAAAAAAAAAUGCUAUUUACACACACAAAAAAAUAGAUAAAAAUUUACUGUUCAUAAUGCAAGGGUUUAGACAACCAUUUUAAAAUUUUUAAUAUUUAUAAAGUAAAAAAAUGAUAAAAUUAGUGUAAAAAAAAUUGACCCUUUAAUGGUAUGAAUGAAUGAGUUCUUCUCAAAUAUUUGCUCCUCUUAAUUUUAGCAAACCAAAAACUUAUAAUUUUGUUGGAAUAGUCUCCUGAUGUGAAAUCGUCAAAUUUAUUGUUCAUCAUUUAUAAUAUUGAAAUUUUAAAGUGGUCUUGCAUUAGAGACUUGCUCUAUAGAAUUUUUGAUCGAAAAUGAGUACCAAACAGUGAUGUCUACUACCUAUUGGAAAUAAUCUUUCAAUGAGUAAUAAGAGAUAAUGGAACCCUCGGAAUUAAUCAUGUCCACGCAGUUUCUUGGUAAUCCACUUUUCGAAUAACGGUGCGUGGCACGCUACAUAUAUCGUGUCUAAUUCAGUACUCAUUCCCGAUUUAUUAAUUUUUUUUGAAAAAAAAAAUAAAUAUGAAAAUAAAAAAAUAUGUAUUUAGUUCGUCCAAUUACGAUAGUGCGCCUCCAAUAGUCCAAUCGCGCCGCGAUGGACAAUCCGACGGUCGCGGCGCAAGAUCACGCAGCUGCUAAUUUUGGAUAGAUAUAUUACGUGGUGGACACCUCAUCUUUGUGUGGAUUGGGGGGAAAAAAACACAAAGACACAUAAUGCGCUUCCGGAUAACCGGGGCCGCCGAAAUCUCGAUGGAGCGACACGUGGCACGAUCUCCGCCGACAGUAGCCGUGGUUAGGGGGAGUCAGCAACAAAAAAAAAAAAAAAAAAAGAAAAAAAAAGAAAAGAAAAAGAGCGUCGGGAGUGUGCGGUGGUCCCCACCAAUAAUUUUCGUGCGCCGACCACCGUCUCCACCAUCCUCCCCGUUUCCCUCUCAUGUAUAUCAUCAGUAUAUAUCUCCAUUAUUAUUAUACUACUAUAUGCGGACGCAAUUAUAUCUCUGCCCCCAUCAUAAGCGGAGUAACCCGAAACCCUAACCCUAACCCUAGAAGAGGAGAUAGAUAGAUGGCGGAGAGAGGGGGAAUGGGGACCGGAGGGGAGGAGGAGAGGGGGGUGGAGGAGGGAAUGGCGGUGGUGGACUUCGACAUGCUCUGCGCCACGGUGGCGCUACAGGCGCAGGGCUUCUCGGCGGAGCGGAGGGCGAAGGGUAACGCGGCGGAGGAGGAGGAGGAAGAGGAUGGGGGAGACUACGGCGGCGUGCAGCGGAUGUGGGAAGGGGACGUCCUCGAUUGCUUCGAGGAUCGCCGGAUCGCGAUCGAGGCCGCGUGGUACGAGCUCCAUCUCUCUCUCUCUCUGAAUCACGGUGUUUAGAUCUACAGUUUUGUUUCUUGUGUACUCAGAUUUCGAUCAAACAUUGUAAUGAUUUGGAUUUUGAGAUGAAUUUGGCGUUUCAAUAGCAAAAUUGUAAGAUUUUUUAUGAGAAUAUAAGAUUACCCUUUGGAUCAAAGUGGCUUGAUUGGGUGCUUAAUCGGUCUAUAAUUUUUGCAGUUGCCCAUGUUAUAGAUUUGGGAAGAACAUGCGAAGAGCCAACCUGGGAUCUUGUUUUCUCCAGGUGAGCUCAAAGAUGUGAUCUUAUUGCUCUGUGUAAUUUUUCCCAUUCUUGCAAAUUAGCGAGGCAAGAGACUAUGUAGGUCAUGUGUACUAGUAUCAUCCACUUUUGUGGCAUUACUUUUAGGUUCAAUUAUGGAUUAGCAUCUAGAAUGGUAAAGGUGGUACUUUUGUACUCAUGCAUCCUGAACAUCUUUGAAAUGACCAGCAUGCCAUCCAGAAUGAGAAAAAGAGAAUGAUCUUCUUCAGUUUCUCCUCUGCAUUUCUUUUCUCUUUGAAAUUCUUAUGAACUUUUAGGUUGUUACUGCAUUUGGAAAAGGAAAGAGCAUCAAAAUUAAAUUUAGGUUAAAUUACAAAAGCAAGUCCUGCACCCUCCCCCAAUCUUAUGUUUACCCUACAUUUUAGUUGCUGCAAAUUAAAACUUGCAUUUAACUAUCAUCUUAUCUUAGUCCAGAAUUUGUGGAUGAUUGCUCAUUUCAAACAGAAUGCCUAGCAAAAAUGAGUUUACAGCUAUUAUUUAUCGCUAUUCAUACAAAUGCAUAUUUGAUCAAAUGAUUACCUCUUUAGUACCUUAAGCUAUAUUAGCCGGUUUGUUUGAGUUCUAACAUGAAACCAUUUCUUUCCUUUUCGCAGGGAACUGUAUAUUUUAUGAUUAGAGCACUUACUCUAUUCAGCCUAAUUGCUUUCGGUAUCACGAAGUGGCAUGUAUUUGUAUAUACAGGAGUUGGUUCGGCCUUCUUAAUCGGAGUUUAUUUGGGUUAUUUUCGAACUAGGAUAAGGAGGCAGUUCAAUAUCAGGGUAAGAAUCGGUUUCCCGUAUUAUCAUCUUUUUUACAGCUGAUUCAUUUUUUUUAAUUCUUCAAUAAGAACUUACUAUAACUUAAUGUUUAGUUUGUGUUUUUGGAGUCGGUUAUCUUUUCCAAGUUAUACUGUGUUUUUCCCUCGAAAAUCAGGGAUAAUGCAGAUUAACCGCUGGGCUUCAAUGCUGUUUUGAGAUUGUAAAACAUAGUAAUGGUUGUUAUUGGACUGUUGAAAAUUUUAGUUGUUGUGGGGCAUUUGUGCUUAUAGUUCAAUUACCAAUUGGUUGUUUCCAGGGUAGUGACAGUUCUGUAGAUGACUGUGUUAACCAUCUCAUCUGCCCCUGCUGCACCUUAUGUCAGGUAAUUACCAAGUAACCAAAUUCUCAAGGCUUUGAUUAAACUUGUGUACUGUUAAAUUCGUAAAUAUGAAUUAAACUGAGAGUUAGAUUCAACUAAGCAGGAGUCGAGAACGUUGGAGAUGAACAAUGUCCAGUGUGGCGUAUGGCACGGGAGGGGCGACACCAUAUGCUUAGGAAGCGGAAUUGGUGGCGAGGGAAUCAAACCAUCGCUUCUUCCAAUUCGAUCCCCGGAGUUGUGUAGCAUGGAGAGAGCAUCAAAUACAAACGAGCAUUCGUGGAACUCCGACACUAACCAAUCAAACCCGCUGGUGGCGACAACUCAAUCUGUAGAAGAUCUAUGAGGGUCGGCAAUCUGCUGUAGGAAGAUUCUAACACGUUAUGGUCAGAUAGUGGGGGAACAAAUUUGCCCCUGCCCCCCAUGUUGUAAGUCGUAACCUUACAUUUAUAGCUGUAGGCGUAUGCCAUGGUUAACUCUGAUUUAGAUCUCUAUAUGUACAAAGUUUUACAGCAUAAGAUCAUAUCUACUAUGUAUUAGUGGUUACGGUGAUAUUGUAUAUUCAAUUGAAUUGAUGGAUAUGCUAACCACUCCGGCGAAUCUUUUUUCAAUGUUUUCUUUUAUUAACGUUACUCAUUUGUAGCUGAUGAUUUAACUGCUUUCAUUUGUGAAUGUUGCUUUUCUGAACAACUGUUGAAUAAAUUAACUUUGUCGUGAGAUCAGUUUAAAUUUAUGUCAGGCUGAAAACGUCCGUGCUGAAAUAUAUCAUUCCAAAGCAAAGCGAACCGUGACCAGAUUGUUCGAAAUUCCGCAUAUAACUAACUUGCAAAAUUUGGGGCCCUCAAAAUCACGGAAGGGUCCCAUUCACGUGCAGAUUUAUGUUCAUCCAUAGUAUCUAAUCUCGUGAUUUCUUCUUACUUACUACGUGCAUGGUUAAAUCAGGGCAGUGCAGAAUGCAUAAACAGAAUUCUGAGACCGCUCCAGACCAGUAGGCUCCAGACUCGGUCCAGGCUCCUUUACGUAUCUUUAAUUGGGUGACAGAGCCGAUCCAAAUUUUUUUAAUUGUACCAAUCCUGCAAAUUAGGCCGAGUAUGUCUUGCACAGUAUACCAACUGUCCCUAAAGCGAAUGACAAAGAGCUUGAUGGUUGGUAUAUGAAUUUUUGAAUUCGAAAUAUAAUUGCUUUAAAAUUUUUAAUUUAGUUUAUUUCUCUCAAAGAAAAAAAAAAAAUGCAGCGGUAGUAUAUUACAAAUUCUCGCUCAAAAAAGAAGUCCUGCACUGUAUCCCACAAGGUAAUAAAAAUGUUGAUACGUAAGGCCCAGGUGGUCGAGUGGUGCGGCCCAUUGUGCUAACUACACAAGCUCCCCUCUGCAUUAGCACUACAUUUGGCAGAAUUGUAACGCAAUACGGGCCCACCGCAAGGUGAGCGGGCUCUAAGAAUUUCAAACUCGUGUUAAAGCAAAAACACCGAUUUAGAGCUUCUACACUAUCGCUCAUUUAGUAUUGUUAGCAUGAUUGUGAUGAGCUCUCCGAGCGAGAAGAGAAAGGAAGAUGAUAUAUGUACCCGUACUUAUACAUGUAGUCUUAUAAUUCUUUUGUUCGAAGAUUCACAAAAAAUUAACUUUUAUAGAAAAAAAUAGAUAAAAUAAGUUAAACGUGAGAACUCUUGAGGCGUACGCUUAGACUCGCUCGGAAAGGAAUAUGCUUUACGGAGAAGUUAUAGGUGUCACUUUCUCAUUGGCCGACCACAUUUUGCCCAAUGCAUGAGGCGACGAAGCUUCCGACACUUUCUUUGAUAGACAUAUCAUUUGAUAUCUAGGUCCUAUAUAAGGAAGAUCACAACGUGAUCCUGCUUGCAUACUUAUUUAUUUAUGCAUAUAUAUAAAUAUAUAUAUGUCAAGGGACCCAUUCAAACUUGGACCACAUUAACAAACAACUGUAACGCUCUAUAACAAAAAACGCUACAUGCUCAGACACUCGCAGCAAAAAGCCUGAGACCUCUCUCCCCCUGUAUGUAUACUCGAGAGUAUCCGGAUAUAUACCAAGGAUAUUAGGAUAACGGGGAUUAAGUGCCCAUUAGAUUCUCCUUAAUUAAUUACCUAAUUAUCACCAAAGUCCCCAUGCUAAUUACGGAACACGUACACUAAAUACGUACUCAUUAAUUAAUUAAUAUCCAUCAUUUCCCUAUCCCUCAACACUUAUAGUAAUUAGUGUAAUUAGAUGGCACGAGAUUAAGCUUUAAGAGAUUUUGGUCGGAGAAAACGAGAUACUACAAACAGUUUUCGGAAUUUAAAAAUUCGAACGCGAAAGAUCAAACAAGAGCGAGAAAAAGGAUUUGAAAGUGUGACGAAAUUCUUGUGUUUAGAAGGAGAGCUUAAGAGAAAGGUCGAGAACGCCGGGAGAAGCGGACGCAGAGGAAGAGGAAGAGGAUGCAUUACCCACCGUCCGAUCCGCGAGCUCCGAAUCUCCGCGUCUCACGGGGAAGAAGUCGAACUCCUUUAUCGCCUCCCUCUCCGUCGCCGGCUUUCUCUUCCUCUCGUGGGAUCCGGCGCCGUAUCCUUCCUGCAUUGGAAUCAGUUUUGGUUACGAUCGAGAUGAAGAAGAGGUCGCAUCACGUACGUACAUGUAUGUGCGGUUGGAUUGGGAAGGGAGGGGUGUACGGCGCACCUGAUCAACGGCCACGGCGGCGGCGAGGUCCAUCUCGAGGUAAUCGACGCCGUUGAUUCCGCUGAGCGUCGGAUUCUCGCCGAAUAGGCGCUUCUUCUAGCGGGGAUCGAUCGACCGGCGCAUGCCACAACAGAUCCGAUCAGAGAGAGAGAUCGAGACGAAACCCUAGACGAUGGAAGCUAGCGUCGAGAAGAGGAAGCGGUACGUACCGUAGCGCAGAACUCGCACUGAUCGGAGAAGCACUGCAUCGUCGUCGCGAUCUUUUGGUUUGAAGGGGGCUCUGGGAGGUGGAAUAGGGGGUCGGGGGCGGCGAUCCUCCACCGAUCGGCCGGGUAGUGAUCGUGGAGCAGGGACUGGGCGGAGGGGGCCAAUCCGAGGCCGAGAUUCGCCGAGAGGCUGCUGCGAUGGAGGUAGCACAGCGCGGUGGGUGGCGGAGGAGGAGCGUGCGGCGAGGAGCCGGGGAAGGGGACGGGGAGGUGGAGGAGGGGGGUGGGGUGGAUCUCGCGGGGCGACGAGGGGUCGGACUCGGUCGUCGUCUUCCACCGCUCCUGGAGGCGGAGGCGCUCGAGCUGGGCGACCCCGAGGCCGCGCUGCGGCGGCCGCUUCGGGGCGGAGGGCUUCGGAGCCCUGCGCGGCUUCUGCUUCGUCGCCGGCGCCGUAGACGGCGCCUUCGUCUCCGGCGGCGGGGUGGCGUCGGCGUCCCCUGCGGAGGCGGAGGAGGACCAGAGCAGGAACGCGGUCGCCAUUGUCGUCUCUAUGUGUGUGUGUGUGUGAGAGAGAGAGAAGGGAGUGGGGAAUGAUUUAUAGUGAGGGAGAGGGAGAGAGAGAGAGAGAGUUAAAAUAUAUAUAACCGCGUUGGAGUCUUGGAGAUGAGCGGGGAGAGGAGAGAGCGUAGUGUAGUAGCACAGUAGCAGAAGAGGAGAAAUUAUCUCUUGGACCAUAUGCACCGACUAAAACUAAAUGGACUGUAGCGAUCGAUGAUUGUUACGUAAUGGACUGUAGAUGAUGAACGGUGUAGCAGUGUAACUAUGCACCGAGAUCAGGGUAAAAUAUUCUUAUGAGAGGAGGGGGGAGGGUAGUGUGGUCCCCGCCACUACACCUGACACGUGUCACGGAGGCAGCUCGUACGGACUGUCCCGUGGCGGGCGUGGUCGGAGCUCUUCUGCCGCAUACACCCCCUGCUUUUCGUGUGUACGUCUCUCUUUUCUCUCUCUCUCUCUCCCUAUUCCCCUUUGUCCCUUUGCAUGAUGAGAUCUCUACCCCAUAAUUCUUUAAUCUCGGCCGUCGAUUUCAUGAUCUUUAUUAGAGCAACAAUGCCUCAGCUGGGCUUAUCAUCAUCCUUCAUUACUAUUUGAUAGUGACUAUGUCCUCUAGUUGAAAUUAAUCUAACUAAUUAAUCAAUAAUAAAUAUCUACGUAAAAUGAUUCGAUAGCAGUAUAUCGAUAUAGACAGGCACAGCUAAUUAUUUUGGCCCAACAUUUUUUUUGAUCUGUAGUAAAUUAGCUAGCUUUUUGAAUUUGGUUGAUAUUUAGAAUACUGCGUAUGAAAUGUGCUUUAUUAUAAACCGAGUGCAGGGAAGUAUUUUCCGGGAUCUUUGACCAUCUCCCAAAGAUAAGAGUAGAGAGAGAGGUAGCGUUAUUGUAGCCGUAGGAUGAAGAAUGAGGGGUAGGAGAUGCGUAGGGUUACAUAGGGUCAUGGAAUGAACGAGAGGUGGGGCUAUAGAUUGAGACUUAGAUAUGAUGGGAGUUUCUAUAAACGGCAAGAUCGGGCUACUCCCACUGAGAUUUGGUUACCAAUAGGUGGGCCUCUACUUAGCAAUAAUUAAUUUAAUUUUACUGCUUCUUUUAUUUUAAAAAAAAUGAAAAUAAACGUCUAUAAUUUAGAUUUAGUUAAAUUGGUUAAUUUAUAGUCGUUCUAAGUAGUUUUAAACAUUUAAGAUAAUUACUAAAUUUUGAUGCAAAAUUUUAUAUAUAUAUUUUUUAAAAAAAUCAAUUAUAUAAGCGCAAAUUAAUCUCAUUUAAUAGGGAUAAUGAAUGUGUCAAUUUGGUUACUUCUAAUACAAAAAAAAAAAGAAUUGUUUUAUUUGUUUUCUUUUUAAUUGUACAUAAGAUCGUUUUAUCUAUUAUUCACGUAGUUUGGAAAUUUAUUUUGUUCAAUGAAUGGGUAAAUAAAAUACUAAAUAGGCCUUUCUCAAUAUAAGAUCUUCUUGUCUUAGACCACCUUAACAUAUAAGAUCGGAUUACUAAUCUACCAAGUAGUUUUGUAAAUUUACCUCUUCCACAAAUUUUCCUUGAGGGAGAAAAUUGUGGGACCCAAUUAUGUGGAUGGCCAAUAGGGGAAGGACACGUACGACGGUGGGAGAACCGAAUCCGGAGAACGAUUUGGGUGUGGGGACGGAGUAGAGGGAGGAGGAGAGGGGUGGUCCCCAUACGUGGUGGUGACGUGGACGGGGAGGGAAGGACCACCAAUGAGAGGACGCCGCGUACGACGAGAGCUCAAGAGCGAGGCUGCAGGAGGGGGCGAUGAUUUCGGGUACGGAUAGUGGCGGCCGACGACGGCGACGGCUAGGAUCCGCCUACAUGCCCCUCCCCGAUCCAUGCGAACACCCAUUAAAAUAAAGGACAUUGCUACGCGGACCCAAAAUUAUCCCCAAGAGAUUCCCCCAAAUGUUCAAAUAUUUUUGCUCAUUAGGGACUUUUACUCGAACUAAUGUUCACGGAGUAUUAAACGAAAAGAAAAAGGAGAAAGAUUUGGCCCAUUGGGUAGUAUGAAAUUUGCUUACUUGUUAAAUUGUGCUAGCAUUUUAUUGCAUUUUUUUAAAAAAAAAUUAUUAUAUGAAUUGAAUUUGUUUUCCCACAUUAGGGCCAGGCAUAGAGGAUACACUAGGGCUGGGUGGAAGGAUCUCCACCCUGCAGGGAAUGAUUGGGUACUACUACUACUACUUGUUGUUGCUGUUGUUGUUUUUUAGCCUUAGAGAGAGAAAAAGAGAGAGAUGAAGAGAGAGAGAGAGAGAGCAGCAGCAGAGAGAGGGAACUGAGACAUUCACAGACUCUUUCUUUCUUUCUUUCUCUCUUUACUGCUGCAGCCUUUUGAGUUUUGUGCCAACUGUCGUCCUUGUUUAUUAUUUACUGCCCAAAAAGAGAAACAAAAAGGAAAAAUGAGUAAGAAGAAAAUUACUAGUCCUUUGUGCCUUCUUAUGAUGGAUAGGAGAUUAGUGACAAAUAAGUGGAAUCAAAGGAAGAAGAAGUGCUAAUAAGAGAUCAUGUAAGUUGCAGAAACUAAUCAGCCUGCUGAUUAUGUGGAAGAUUAGGGACUGAAUUGAAGUUUCCUAAAACUUUAAUUAGGGUCAAGUAACUGCUUCAAAUGGACAGUGGCAUCUUUGUAAAUAGUGUUUUUUAGGGAGAGAGAGAGAGCGAGGGAAUAGUAAAAAAGAACAAAAAAAAACCUUGUGUUGUCUAUAGUGAGAAGCAAGAGAGAAGCCUUUUGUUUGCUUCCAGGCAUUCCCGGUACACUGUGCUUCCCAUUUUAUGAAAAUUAUAUUAAGCUAGAGAGAGAGAGAGAGAGAGAGAGAGAGGGUGGGUGGGGACCAAUUCCAAAGAGAGAGACAGAAUGUUAAAAAAAAAAAAAAAACAUGAAUAGGAGGGGAAGAAAAAGAAAGAAACAAAAAGGAGCAGUUAAUUACCAAAAAAAGAGGAUUAUGCUGAAAAUGGGGACUACUAUGGCAGGCUUUAUUGAGGGCCCCAUAUUUGGUAUUGAAGUGUAACGUACGGAGAGAGACCACCCUACCCCAAAGAUUGGUUGUAUCUCAACUGAGAUACGAUAAUCUUAUAUAUAAUAAUACAUAAUAAUAAAUCAUGCUGUAAAUGAAUGUGUGGAGUAACAUCUUGGCAGUGAUCUUUUAUAUCUCAGGAAAACGAAGUGUUAAUAGGGUUAAAUAAAGGUAAGAACAAAUUAAUCUAUUUAUAUAAUACUGUUACUACUAGCUGCUAGGAGGACAGAAGCUCCUGCUGCAGCAUUUCCCGUAGAGAUGGUGCCUCUGCCUGCUGCUGCGGCGAGGAAAAGCUCCAAAUCCAAUUCUAGACUCUUUACAGCUACAACAAUUACUGUAAUAAUCUCAUAUAGUAAUUACUCCAACAACCGAACUUCAAGCAAACAACACAACAGUCCCAACACAGAAAAAUUGAAAAACUAGGUUUUGUGCUCAAGAUUCAAUACCGUUGAGCCGUUCCUCCCUCAUGUUAAGUUACAACAUUUUUCUCAAUUAGAAGUUCAUAUGAAGUUGGACCUCAAUUAAUUGAUCUGAAAUAUAUACAGAUAUGCUUACUCAGAUAGGAGCAACAGAAAAAGAAAUGCUUGUGGUAGGGUAAAUGAAGAAAAUUUAGCAGAUCACACUAAGUCAUUGUUUGGUUGUUUCGCAAAUGCAACAGCUCGUGGUAAGGUAAAUGAAGCACACAGCAUCCAUUUUCCAGGAGCGACAAGCCGAACUCUAUGCAGUUCAACAUCCUUCAGUAUAUCGCACAAUGCCAUGUUUAUACGCUGCAGUAUUUUGGAAACAAGAAAUCAAUAAAAAAAGGGAUCGUUGUGAGAAGUGAAUGAAAGAGUUUUGAGUGGAAGAAAGAGAACAGAGGCAAACCUCACAAAAGUCGUAUUCAGGAUUCUGGGCCUUGGAGAAGCCAUAGACGUGAAUCUUGGGCAGAGUGCAGUUAUCAUCCCUCAUUCUAUUCCUGGAGAUACCUCUGAACACAUCUACAUAGAAAAAUUUCAUUACAUGCAACUUAGAACGUCCCCUAGAAUGUUACAGAGCAAGUCAUUUUGUAGAACCCAGAUGGCAACUAUGUAGAUGCAUUGCUGAAAAUCAGGUACCCAUUAUAUCAUGUGAAAGUUGUAUAGCUCACAACAGAACAAUCUUAUGAAGACCAAAAGGAAAGAAAAAAGAAGUUUGAGCAUUUAAGGGCAACCUUGAGAAAGAAAAACGAACUACCUAGAAGCUCCGAAUAAUGAAAUCAAUUAUAAUUCACAAAGGGGAGCUUUCAAUCGCAUGAUGUUAUAACUUCCACAUUAACAACAAACCUAGAAAUUCUGCAGCAGCAUUUGGCAAAUUCAUGACCACUUGUGUGACAGCAUAAGGUCGUUGGCUGGCAAAUAUAGCACCAAUGAACCUUCUGCCAUCCAUGUUAAAAACCUGGUCCAUAGGGAAUAAAUAGUAUUAGUUUAUUUAACCAUGUUUUGAUUACUGUUAUUUAGGAAAACAAUAAAUUAACCUCAGAUUUCAUAUUUGCUUUAUCUUUAAAGCACUGAAAGGAGAAACGGAAAAACGCAAAUGGAAUUUGCAACAAAAUAGCUUAGGAAUGUCAAAGAAAGAAGAAAAGACAAAAAGUUCUUCAAUGGUACAUGAAGAUGUUUAUAAGAUUCAUAAAAAGCUGUUACUGAACGAGUGAAACAAAUAUUAAUCUUUUUUAUUGGAACAGAAUAUAUUGGAUAAGGCCAUAUAGGAAACUUUUUUAUCAUCACAUAGUUAUUAAAAAAAAAUGAGAAGAGAAUCUGAAAUUAAUUGUUAGGAACCAUCAUACCUCAAUUUUCCUCUCAAGCUUGUUAAGAACAAUGUUUCUCUCCAAAUAUUCCACAGCAUUUGGAUUCAGGUCAUUUGCAUAUACAUGCUUGACUUUUCUGGCAGCAGAAAUAGCAAUCGGACCAACACCAGAGAAAACAUCACCUGUACAAAAUAUCAGAUGAUCAGGUUCAAACAUGUUCAAUCAUUUUGUCCCAUACAUGAGAAAGCCCAAUAGUAUCUGCAAUACAAUGAAGGCUAUUGCUCAACUGAUUUGUUUUCUCAAGCAGGUUAAUGCAUAUGACAAAAGAGUCAGGGGGUAUGCCUAUCUCAGUGAACACGAAUAAGAUAGGUAGUUCAAGAAGUAAGCAUCUACUAGUUUUAAUAAAGCACAAUUACUACAGAAAAUGGACUACCUUAUCUCAGAAUAGUAAUCUAAGCAGCCUACAAUUUAAGCAACAAAUAUCUCAGGGACUUAAAAAGACGAGUAUAAACUUACAAACAACAUCGGAACUCGUGAAGUUGUUAACAAGCCUAUGCCUUUCAGUUGCCAACCUAGAAUUCCAAUAUCUGCAUGGAAUCAAGAUUCAAUAUAGAAUAGCCAGUCAAAAUCUAGUCCAAAUUAAAGAGCGAAGAGUCAGGAUUCCAAACAAACGAAUGAAGUGCCAGGUAAAAGAGCAACUGAAAAUUGGCUUAAAGCAGAAGAGCAACUAUAAAAAACCAUAUGGAAUAACACUGGCAAGAUCAACCGUCAAAUACGAUGUGUUGUCUCAAAAAAUAAAAACUAAUAAAUCCAAACCACGUUGCAUGAAAGCACUGAAAUGUCAAAUAAACUGCCAAUGGCUCCGCAUAACAAAAUGGUUCAGACUAUGUAGAAUGCAUUGUCUACUAUUGUCUAAAAUGCUGAGAAAAGAUAACCUACACUGUCGCAAGAUCAACUUGAAAACGAAUUCCAUUCUCAAUGACUGUAGUAACAAGAGAAUGGUUACCAGCCAGUACUUCAAGCUGCAUUGUUCUGUAAUCAUUUUGAAUAGCAUCAAUCUUGUUAACAACUGUUUGUAUCUUUGGCUUGUUUUUAUCCAACACCACCUGAAUGGUACACAAAAUAAUACUAGUAUAAGGAUAUAUGUAAUUGAGAAGAAGAAAAAGAAAGCACAAGGAGUAAAAACUUCGAUGCAAUUAUGUCGCACCUGAGCAAUAAGCUUCUUGUAAGGCAAAUGCUCAUCUCUCAGGUUCAAGUGUACAAUGUGUCCAACUGUUUCAAAACCUGUUGGAACAAUCAUCCCUUCAGGAAGCAAAGCCUCCAAGAGCUACAAGAAAGAACUCAAGUGUCAGAAACAGUAUUAAGAGACCUAUAUUAAAACAGAAAAGUUCAUGGAAACCAUACGACGAGGUGAAAUCCCAGAUGUCGUAUAAAUAACGCAAAUGUAAGCAAAGCCUGACGAUACCUCACUCAUCUGCCAGUAGUCGUAAAAUAAGGUCAGCCGGCAUCUUACAAGCUCAUACACUGAAGGCCUGAUUUGCUCACUAUCACCGCAUAAAACAGCCUGGAGGGGGUUAAAAGAAAGGGAAAAAAGAAACAAUCACCUUCACAAUGUAUGUUGUAUUGAAUCAUCAAAAUUAAGUGAAACAAUAAGGCAGAAGUUAAAUGUGACGCCGAACGGAAAAAGAGGGAUUGUUCUGUUACGGCAACAAUUUGUCAGUUUCAAGCAAAAAUAGUGUUUUUGGUCAAUGAAAUGUUUACCCUGAUGUUUCUGUCAUAGGUUAGGUAGAUCUAAACUACAUACAAAGAUGAAGUUGUAAGGUUUAUCUACAUGCUUCAAUAGAUUUUUACAGCCCCCAGUUUCUAACGAAUUUCAACAUAGAGCAUUUCCAAAGAAAAACACAUGGACAUUUCAUCCUACUUGAUUAAGCUCAAACGAAAAAAGCUAACUCACAGAGCAACAAAGAAGCCACCUUGACGGCCUCCGGAAGCUCUUCCGCCGCUUUGUUCGCAUACCGCUCGUCCAGCAGCAGUAACCUGGUUGGCCCUCUCCAUCUCCUUCCUCCGAACUCAUCUCCCAACAAACCCCUCAUAUCCUCCUCCUCCUCGUCUCCGUCGUCGUCGCCAUUGCUAACAACCUCGAUCGCAGAGAACUCGUUCUUUCCAGCUCUCUCUUUAAGCCCUUCUCUGCUCUCCUCCUUCUUCCUCCCCUUCUCCUUCCUCUUCUUCGGGCGCGAGAUCUUCGCGAGGUUCCGGAACUUCAGGUACCCUCGGCAAUUGAACUCCUUAGCGAGCUUCUCCCUAUACAGCGCCGGGCUCAGCGCCAACGGCUCCUCCUCCUCCUCCCCGCCGCCGCCGCCGAUGUGGGAUGUGUUCUGCGCCCGCCGAGCCAGGGAGUCGAGCCGCGCCCCGCCGUCCCCCUCGGCGGGGCCCCUCAGCAUCCUCCUGAGCUCGGGCUCGACGUCGUCGCCGGCGACCCGGGCGACGUUGCGGACGCGGGGCCAGUUGAGGAGGUGGCCGCGGAGGCGGGCCUCGAGGGCGGAGCACUCGGCGGCGGGGACGCGAAGCGCGGCGACGUCGAAGGAGCGGAUGAAGCUCGACCUGUCGAUGGCGGCGCCGCCCUCGUCGGCGGGCGGCGGCGGCGGCGGCGGCCUACGACCGUGGCGGAGCGAGGGGCCGUAGUGGAAGGACGCAGCGGGAUCUGCCGCUAGGGUUACGGUAAGGUUGGAGGAGAGGGCGUAGAAGAGGUAGGGUUUCGUGGGGAGGAGGCGACGAGGGGAGGGGAUAGGUGGGAAGGAGAAGGGGAAGUGGUGGCGGGUUCGGAGCGCGAAAGCCGAAGACAUUGGAUUGGGACGAUCGAGUGGAGUGAACACAAUGUGCGUUCGAUGCCAUUGCUAGUUAAGAGGAGUAAUAUGAUUGAGAAAAAGUCGGCAACGGUAUUCCAGGUCUUAUGAAGUCGGCGCCGACUUUCGAUCAACGCAAUUCCAAUCCUGUGGUGCUCUCAGGCUAAAACCCCUCCUCUCUCCCAGAACAUCCCACACAAUUAUUCCUACACUUUUUAUCUCCAAUUUAUUUAAAGAAGAAGUAACUCAUCUCCACCAAAUUGCAGAGGAGGAAGAUGAAGAAGAAGCAGCAGCUCCAUCCCCACUCCCAAUUCCUUUAUAGACAUUUUAUAGAUUCUAACUGAGAAAACAGUUUAAUAAUCAACCAUACCCAGGAACGGGUGAGCAUUGGUCGGUUCAAAUCUAUUUAACUCGUUAUUAAAAGUCCUAAGAACCAGUUAAGCAAAUAAAUAAAUGUUUGAUCAAUACAAAUUUUUGAACAUUUUUAUCACCUAAAUAAUGCGUGUAUAUAAUGUGAAAAAAAAAUUGUAAAUUUUGCAGGGAGAUCCUUCCUAUCUUAUUCUAGAAAGUGAUGGAACUGGAAUCGACACUUCUUAUUUGCGCCUACCUCGAUUGUGUUGUACUGUCGAAUGCAACUGAGAACAACAAAUUUACAUGCCCUUGCCAUGGAUCCCGAUAGAAAAUUCAACGCAAGGUCUUCGAAGGAGCUGCAGAUUCUUUCUUAUCAAUAAAAUUUCCUUUCUUGAAUAUAUAUAUGUUUGUUGGCCUACCUAUAAUUCUUGUCCUUUUCAACUUGUAUUCUUGUCAUUAGCUUUCAUCCUUCUAAAUUGUUAGGCGGUCACUGUAUUAUAUUAUUUGUAUUGAGUUGUCGAAUAGUGAGGCUUUCUAUAACGAAUGUUUGAGUUACGUCAUAGAAAAAUCCUAAACUGUGCUAUAAGUAUAAUCAAAUAAGUAACCUAUUUGUUUUGAGUGAACUUCUGAAACUACAAUGUGGCAACAACAAAUUAACAAAGAUUUCAUUAUUAAAUGUUUCCAAACGUUGAACUAUAUCUACAUCCGUGAGAUUAAAAAACAUGAGUAAUGAUCAAAUCACAGCUUUAACUUCCAUGAGGUGAGUAUACUGCAAAAUUUGGGAGUAGACAUGAAUUCUAAUUCUCAGUGUCUUUGUUACUUCAAAGGUCUUCUGUUCAUGUCCUUCCGAAUCUAGUUCAGUAAUCUUUGUAGCUUUGAUUUAAGUUAAAAAAAAGGUGAUCUUGUGAUUGUUUUUUGACAAUCGUCCAAGAACAUAACUGUUCCUUUUCCUUUUUCGCUCUUUUUCUUUUUCUUUUUCCUUUUCCUUUUUUGCUCUUUUCUUUUCUUUUCUUUUUCAUGGUGAGAUGCUUCUACCGGUCACUCUUGCAACUUACCGAGCUGUUCUUUUUUGACAGUCAUUGGCUUUGGUUCAUGCAGAUACGGAUGAUGGGAGCGUUCUAUUCGUACCAUGGGUGGAACACAAUUUUCAUAGAAGUGAAUUGCUCCAUGGUGGGCCUAAACACUCAUGAGUACUCACUCAGCCACAUUAUGAUAGUUGCACAAAAAUGUAUGGCCUUCUAAUGCAGCUCUUUUAUAUGCGCACAUUGUCGAUGAAUUUUUUACUGUAGUAAUGCAUUCCCCAAUUUCGGUUUUUUUCAUAUCAUGCGGUUUCAUUCUUCAGUUUUUACAUAUUAUUAUUUGAUUUAUUUGUCAUUUAGUGGUCUCUAAGAUCAUGAGUAUUGUUCUGCUCCGGCCUGAUACCAGUCUUGAUAAGUGCUUGGUCAAUUUGGCUUAUUCAAUAAGCAACUCUACUGCAAAAGAAAAACUAAAAGAAAAGGACAGAGAGGGAGAGAAGAUGUUCUACUAUUGUGUUUAGGGAUUGUCUCCCUAUCUUCUCCAAUGUUCUCUAUGUACCACUGUGACUAUUCUGAACCACUUAAACUAUUCUAACUCAAAUUAGUUUUUUUUCUACUCAAAAAAACUCGACUUCUUUUAAAAUAAUUUUCAUUGGCCGUGCUUUUAAAACAACUCAAUUAGUCCUAAUAAAACAUGAUGGCAAAUAUCAUCGCACGAGACAUGAAUUUGGAGGGCAUGGUAUAGAAUCAACUAAAUUUACUAGCUAGGUUAAUUAUUCCCGUGCGUCCUGUGGUUUCAGCAACAAAGAGCAAGACAAUAAGUAGAAGUAAAAUGUUUCUACGUGCCAACUAUAUUAUUCCCAGUGAAAGAACAUUGGUUAAACCUUAAAGACUUAAAUCAAUUAGAAACUUACGCACGUUAUUAAAUCUCAAACCAUAAAUUGUAAAGAUGAAUUGUGAGCUGCACUCAAGCAUUAAGCAUUUUCUUUUCUCUUUAUUUUCUUUCUCUUUUCCUUUUUUGCUUUUUAAAAGAAAAAAAAAUCACUCUUUAUCCUUUAUUUGGAUAUUUAUAACAUAGGACGGUUGCUUAGGUUGCUGAGGCACUGCAGUUCAAUCCCGUGUCUAAGGAGAAGCAGCAGGUAAGAGCCUCUCAAUAAACUUUUGUAAUUUUUAAUUCUUCCUUAAGGCAUAUUCUACUUUUAUGUUUUAUUAUAUUAUAAGUAAAUUAGUUAACUAAGAAAUGAGUGAAUAAUAAUCAAAGCGAUAAAGUGAUAGCCUUUUCAUUUUUUUUUUUUUCAAUACAAUCAACAACAGACUGAAACCUUAAAAUUGGGACUACUUUUCGAUCCAUAAGCUCAUUUCAGCUGGCAAAGUCUCAAAUUCUUUUGUUUGCUAAUAGGGCCUUGUGCUACCUCUCAGCAUCUGUUUAGUGAGCUUAGAAGUUGCUUCUACCUUUUUGAAGCAGCAAAAGCUGCAGAUAAUUUUGCUUCAAAUGCUUGAAUUACUAUUUUUUCUAAGAGCAUAAUAAUUUAACUUAAGCUUUCUAUUAGAGGGUGAUGAUUAAUUAUUGCAUGCUUAAAUUAGGUACCCCAAUUACUGAUAUAUAUGUGAUAGCUAAGAGGUUCUUACUAUUUCAUAUUACCAUAUCAACAUGCCUUCUACAUAGAAGCAUCUAUGAAUAAGAGAAAUGUUUAGUCUUCAAUCCAAAAGUGGUUGCAAUCUUACAAUCUAUCUUCCUUAGAUUGAUCCAACCCUUUUUGGAUAUAUAUCACUACUGUUAAAAAAAAGAAAAAAGAAAAAAGAAAAAAGAAAAAAGAAAAGUUGAACACAAGACCAUUAUACGGAAUUAACUCGGGCUAACAAACCAAAAUGGAUUGUGAGCCUAGUGUUUUUUUUUUUUUUUUUUGAGAGAGAGAGAAGAGUAGCACGCUAUCUGUUUCAUUCAUUAGAUAAAUAAAUUCAACUAUAUAGAGUGAGGCAGCUAGAGCCUCACAAAGGCGACAAAUUUUUUAAAAAAAAGAUCUAAAAAAAGGAGCAGAAAAGAAGCGAAAACUAGCAUAAGCACAAAAAGUGUAACAAAUGAAACAUCGUCCAGCUCUACAAAAAUCGGUUCACUCCUUCGACAGUACUCUAAUACGAUGAGUAGUAGAGAUAAUAUUUGUGAGCUUAGCGUUGUUCUAGGAAUAAAUAAAGAUUAUAUAGAAAUUUUAUGUCCCGUUUUAGUUAGCCAUUUGGCUAAUAAUUGUAAGCAAUACUAGGUUUACAAACCAAAAUUAGUUGUAACCCUACACCACCCUCAUACAAAGACAAAUUCUUUUCCAUUAUUUUUAUCAACUCCUUUUCUCUUUACGAAAAACCAAAAAAAGGUUAUUAAAUCUUAGAUAUAUAUCCUCGGAUGAGGGGUUAUAGAAUUAGAAUAAAAAAGAAAAUGUGUUUUCAUUUUUCAAACUUUUUAUCCGGUAUAAAAAUAUAUUUUUUAUAGUUUAAAAAAAAUAAUAAAUAAAUAAAUUUUUGUAUUUUUCUGAAGAGUCAAACACGCUCAUAAAUAAUAAUAUUAAUUUUUCUUCUCAAAAAUCAGCUGGUUGGAGGGAAAACUCAAAACUAAAAGUGAUUCAACUGCAGGAUAUAUAUAUUAUUCAGUUGGAUUAAGAAGAGCAAGCCUGCACAUAUAUAUAGUUGGAAGUAUGGGGUUCCAGCCUCUGGUUCCGCAGCAAGACACCAACUGGGAAAUCCGGGCGGCGGUCCUGGCCAGCCUGGUCCUCCAAGUCUUCCUCAUCUUCAUCGCCCCGCUCCGCCGCCGCUCUGCCUCCCGCUUCGCCCGCUUCGUCGUCUGGUCCUGCUACCUCCUCGCCGACUGGGUCGCCGACCUCUGCCUCGGCCUCCUCCUCAACACCCUCGGCAACAUCGGCACCCCCGCCGCCCCCGUCUCCUCCCACGCCGCCGCCACCCCGAGCAGCAGAGGCAGCGGCAGCGGCAGCGGCAGCGGCUGUAACAACACCAGCAGCCCCGUCAUCUUCGCCUUCUGGGCCCCCUUCCUCCUCCUCCACCUCGGCGGCCCCGACACCAUCACCGCCUUCUCUGUUGAGGACAACGAGCUCUGGCGCCGCCACCUCAUCGGCCUCCUCUUCGAGCUCUUCGCGGCCGCCGCCGUCUUCUUCUGCUCCCUCCAGGGCAACCCGUUUGUCGUCGCCUCCGUCUUCAUGUUCGUCGUCGGCGUCGUCAAGUACGCCGAGCGCACCUACUGCCUCUACCGUGGGAGCGCCGACGGCCUGCGCAGCUCCAUGCUCGGCGAGCCCGACCCGGGCCCCGACUAUGCCGAGCUCAUCCAGAAGUACGACUUCUCAAAAUUCGCGCUGGAAAGCGAAGACACGGACUGGAAGCUCGACAAAGACAGCCCCGUUGAAUCCACCGCAUUCCGACUCUACCAAAAAUUCCAGUACCUCUUCGCGGACCUCAUACUCAGCUUCAAGGAGCGCAACGUGAGCAAAAAAUUCUUCUCAGAUCUGGAUGCCGACAAGGCCUUUGAGUUGAUCGAGGUGGAGCUCGGCUUCGUCUACGACAUCGUCUACACCAAGGCGGCCGCCGUGCACACGCGAGCCGGGUACGCCCUCCGGCUGAUCGGAUCGGCGUGCAUCGUAGCUGCUCUCCUCACGUUCUUUUUCGUCGACAAGCGUGGAUUCACGCUCUUAGACGUCGCCAUCACCUACGCACUGCUACUCGGUGCAGUCGUGCUCGACGCGGCAGCACUCAUGAUGCUUCUCUCCUCCGACUGGACCCGCGUCUUCUGCGCGGACAACCCGUUCUUCAAUAAGUGCUGCUUAUUCAUCGAGAACAAGUACUCAUGGUUGAGGCUGAGGAGGAGGGGGCGGCGCUGGUCGCGGAAGGUUUCGCGGCUGAGCCUCAUAGGCUACUGCCUCGGUGAGCCGGGCGGGGCUGGGCCGCCGGGCGUGAGCCGACUCGUGAGUUGGCUCGCCGACAAGCUAAGGGUCAAAGAAUUCUUAGAUGAGACACUACUCUACGUGAGGCGCGAGAAGGUCACGGAGGAGCUGAAGGAGUUCGUGUUCAACAAGUUGAGGGAAAAGGCGUCGGAGGCAAAAGACUACGCGAAGAUAAAGGAGGUGUGCGAGCAAAGAGGCGCUGGGGCGCUCAAGAAGCUGCAGAAAGAAAGCUCGGACGUGCAGAACAGAAGCUCGGACGUGCAGACCGAAAGCUCGGAGGCGCAGAACGAAAUCUCGGACGUGCAGAACGAAAGCCCGGAGGUGCAGACCGAAAGCUCGGACGUGCAGAAGAAAAUCUCGGAGCUCAUCAGGGAGUGCGUGGAGGUAGACUUUGACCAGAGUCUCCUCCUGUGGCACAUCGCCACCGAGCUCUGCUACUACCAGGACAAGACUAGUGCUCAAGUAUAUGCUCUGCUACACCAAGGCGGCGAUGUUUGAUAGGCUUUCAAAAAUGAUCCGGUAAUAACGUUAACAAGAAUAUCUUUUUUUUUUAUUGAGACGCAGAACGAUGAGACGGAAAAGCUGAAGCGGAUCAGCAUGGCGGUGUCAGAGUACCUGCUGUACCUACUGGUGAUGCAGCCGGCGAUGCUGUCGACGGUGGCGGGCAUUGGCAUGCUGCGCUACCGCGACACGUGUGCGGACGCGCGCCGGUUCUUCCGCAGCAAGCGCGGGCGGCAGCUGAACGGGGACCACGCGGGCGCGCUCCUCGCCGUGAAGACCGACGUCAAGCCGGCCGUCGUGAAGGGAGACCACAGCAAGUCGGUGCUGUUCGACGCCUGCAUCCUGGCGAAGCAGCUGGGGAUGUUGGACGGGGAGAAGAAAUGGGAGGUGGUGUCGGAGGUGUGGGCGGAGAUGCUCGCCUACGCGGCGUGCCACUGCCGCGCGGCGGCGCACGCGGGGCAGCUGAGCCGCGGAGGAGAGCUCGCCACCGUCGUCUGGCUCCUCAUGGCGCACGUGGGGCUGGGGCAGCUCUUCCAGAUCCAGUCCCGCACCCCCUUCCUAUAUGCAGUAUAUAAAUAGAUCAUAGAUGGACAUGCAGCUGAAUGGAUUGUACCACCUACAAAUCAGUGGUUUGCAGUAUCAUAUAUAUAGAGGUGUAUGCAUCUUGUGUCGGGUGUAUGCGAGAGAGAAAAGUAAGUAGUUUUUUUUUUUUUUUUUUUGAAUUAAGUACAAAUCAGUGGUUUGCAGUGUCUUAUGUCGGAAAAAUUCUAGAAUACAACGGUAUAUCGAUGAUGUAGCGUAACAAAUCAAUCAAAAAAAUUUUUUUAAAAAUAUAUGUCCAAUUAUAAUUAUAAAAAAAUAUUUUUAUUGUACUUUUGUUUGAAAAGAAGAAAAGUGAUUGACUUGUUAUUAAUGACGUGGUGCAAGUGUGAUAAUGUAGAAUUUCUCCUUGUGUCGGGUGUAUGUGAGAGAAAAAAAUAAGCUUUUUUUUUUGGAAUUAAUAUAAAAUGAGAAAACGGUGAAAGAGAUUUCACAAAAAGAGCACUCAAUACUUAAGUUAAUCAAUUUUUUAUCAUUUUAUCCCGUAGAGUACUUAAUUCUUAUACUUCCGCCUGAUAUUUGACUCUGAUAUUAAUUAUAACGAUCUGACCGGCUGGCAACAAUAAUUCAUUGGGUCCAAACCACCGGCCUAAAAUGCUUAAGCCAGUUAUUAUUAUUAUUAGUAUGUGGGUUUCAUAUAUUUUAAUUAGAAUCAGUUUUUCAUCCGAUGUGGGACAAUUGGGGCGUUACAGGGGGUAAAGUGAAACUCCACCAAAAGUUCAGAUGGUAAUAGAAAUAUUUAAUUGUUGGAAAUUUUAUUUUACAAAAAAAUAUUUAAUUAUGUUAAAAGGAUAAUUUCAAAAAAAAAUAUUAAAAAAAUAAAAAGGAAAAAGCAAAUGAAUUAGAUUGCUUAGGUGUGCUGCCGAUAUCUGAAGGAUGAGAUGAUAUUUCGUAUUACCCGAACCAAAUGAAGGCUAAUAAAAAAUUAACUUAAUAUUUCUUAAACUUAUAAUAAUAUAUCAAAUUCGUGCUUUUUAUUAUCUAAUGUUAAAUUUAUUGUCUAAUGUUAAAUUUAUUGACAGAAAAAAGAUGUAUGAGCACUGAGCUUACAUUUUUUUUUUUUUUUAGAAAUAGAUAACAAAUUAUCUGCUUUAUUCAUUAAAAAAAUAAAUUAAAUUUAUAUAAUGGAAGCAGCAAGGGCCUCCUAAAAGGGAGCGGUAAAGGGACAGUACAAAUUAAGCUGAGUAAAACGACCAAAAACUGGAGAGAAAAAACGGAAAAGAAAAGGAAAGACCAUAAAAACAAAAAACAAAAAACAAAAAACAAAACAAAAACGAAGCUAAGGAGGAAGUACUGACACUACUACAACUGCUACUACUGCAUCUACGUUUUCCAAUCUGCCAACAGCAAUUUGAUACAUUCCAGAGCUCAGAUGGGGCAUGGUUGCUUCGCUCGGAAGAGCAUAUCAUUUCUCUUGGUCCAAACCACCCAUCAGAUAGCAGAAAGAAGGGUCAAUGCUUGUGAUCUCAACUGUGUGUCUGUUAGGCUGACUGAGCUUACAUUUUGAGAAAAAAAAAAACUUGAACCUCAAAAAGUCUCUUUUUUUUUUUUUUUUGCAGCUAAAGAAUAUUUGUUGUUCAAAUGAGUUUUGCUCUAAAUAGUUUAACUAUCUACUUUCUUAAAUGAUAAGUUUUAAUUGAGGUCUUUAGGGCAUANCUGAUUUUUUUUUAAAAAUGAACUCAAUGCCUUUUAAGUUUCCAUAAAUAUAUCAAAUUGGCCAAUUUUGUCAGAUAAUAUUAAUUUUAUUGAUUAAAGAAUAUUUGUUGUUCAAAUGAGUUUUGCUCUAAAUAGUUUAACUAUCUACUUUCUUAAAUGAUAAGUUUUAAUUGAGGUCUUUAGGGCAUACAUAAGUUUAAACAUCAUCUGCUCAAAAUUCAGAAUAUUUUUUAAUCAAUAAAAUUAAUAUUAUCUGACAAAAUUGGCCAAUUUGAUAUAUUUAUGGAAACUUAAAAGGCAUUGAGUUCAUUUUUAAAAAAAAAUCAGGUGCAAGUGAAACUCUGAUAAAAAUUUGAGGACUACUAAUUAAAUUAAGCACAUAUCCAGGCAGUUAAACCUAAUAACUUUUCAUAUCUGCUCUAUCUGCUGUGAGUUGCGUUCUUCUGCUGCGUGAGACUUAGGCAAAACUAAAAUAUUAAUUAUAGCAUUAUGCUGAUCGUAUCACAUAGACUUCAUUUGGAAUUGCGUAAAGAUUGCAUUACGUGCGGUAGAAAAGUACGAUAAGAAAAUAUAUUGUCUGUUUUCGUACGUAAUAAUACGUUUCGUAUAUAUAUCGCGAUGAGUCGGUUACAAUAUAUUUUCUGCUAUCCUAUCGGAGAAUACAGAAGCAUAUUCCUACAUAUUUUUAUCCCAACUCUAUUUUAUCUAAUAGUAUCGGAUAGACCUCAAUACCAAACUAAGCCAUAGUCGCUUUGAGAUUUCUCAGUAGUUCAGUGUGAUAGCUUAAAUUAUUUUUUUUUCUUUUUCUUUCUUGUGGUUGUAAUUUAUUUUUGGUUUAAUUGUGUGAUGCUCGUUUAUAGUUAUGUGUUAAUUAUGUGAUACCCUUUGAAAUUAAGUUUAAAUUUUUAGAGUGCAAUGUUUGCUUUAUAUUAUUUAAACACGAUAUCAAAAUAAUAAUUUCUGACUUUGAAUUUUACUGGACUCAUAGUCAUGUUAACUUAACUCUUAUUUAUUUCAAGCUCAAGUUUUGAAUCUAUAAAUUUUUACUCAUAAAUAUAACAUUAUGAAAAUUUGAAGCAGCUACUUAUAUGCACUUAAUUUCAUAGUAGGACAGAAGAGAAGAUCAAACUAUAACAUCAUCACCAGGCGCAAUCCAAACAUGCAUCAGCAUGCAUUUAUCUUAAACACCAAAAAAAAAAAAGGGGUACAAUAAAAUUGCGUUGAGCAAAGAGAAGAAAUUAAAAUGCACACACAAUGGCAUACGUACGCUAUAAAUCACACAAUCGAACAAGCAGAAGAGAAUAAUAUUUAUAAUGCACUAAUCAACACACGGAUUUUGCUGAGUAGCUAAUCCACGUCCAGCUGCCAUGAGUGCAGCAGGAAAGCCAAGGCACUUAUCCACAAUCUGCUUCUUCAUCUCCUCCAACUUCUUCUCAAGCCCCUCCUCGACAGGUAAGUUCGAGUUCUUCUUCGCUUCAUCGAAUGCUCGUUUGAAGAGGCGAAAACCUUCGUCAACUUCGAGUCUUUUCGGUGUAUAUACUAAACCAGUAUCGACCAUUGUCCUCACGUCUUUUUCGUUCCUGCACGUGAUGAUAACCGCAUUGCCGUUUCCCUUCGGCAGGCCGUAACCGAGACGGUCGUCCCACGCUUUAUCCGUUGGCGGUUUGGAUCCUAAGUUCCUGUACCACUCAAUAUCGGUACUGCACCACACAUCAUCAAACACUAUCAGGUACUUCACAUCAGAUAGUUGCCAGUGAAGGAUGAAGAGCAAAACACCUGAAGAAAAAAAAAGAAAAGAAAAUAUGUAUGUGCAAGGAAAUUAACUAGUGAAAGUAUACGUUUCUAAUUAACUACGCAAGUUUAUGUGUAAACGAAUCCCUUACAUGCUAAAGCUGCUGCCAAAAUUUACAGAGUAUUGGCGCAAAAGGAUGCAUGGUAUUGAUAUAUAGACGAGCAUAAACAAAUUGUUGUAAAUAGCUGCAAAAAUUCACUCACCUAUUUUUGCUGAAUCUUUGUUGCUCGAGUCCUUAACUGCCUUCGAGUUGUUAACAAUUUCUUCAACUUCAUCGGUUUCUAGGCCGAGGUUGUCUAACAUCCUGUAUAGGAGCUCAUGUUUUUUGCAGUCUGGUCCGACGCACACCCAAAGCCUGAGGGGGAACUCAUCCUUCACUUUCUCAUCAAUAAAGACCUUCCGAGCUAAAUUGGUCUUCCCGCUGCCGUACGAGCCGACAAUUCCAACCGCGUUAAAAUCCUCGUCUUUUACGAGUGCCUUAAUGAUUUUUUCGGCUUCAUCUUUAUCCCCAUAUAACAUACUCUCGUCUACGUAACUGCAAGUCCAUUCAUAAUCAUCACCUACAUCAUCUUCCUCUUGAGAACUAGGACCAGGGCUUCCAAUUACCUGUUGUUCAAUACCCGCAGGCAGUAUGUCUUGCAGUGUAGUUUCUACUUUGCUUAGCUUAUUGCUUAGAUGGGCCGGCAUGCAACAAGAAAAGGCACUCACCAAGCUUUUCUUUACAUUUUGCUGCUGGUUCGAUAAUCCCAGGCAUUCUGCGAGAAUAUUGUUGAGGUCGUGCAACGCAUCUCGCAACUUAUCAGUUUGAUCUUGCGGGAGGCUUGCAGAUAUCUUUGAACGGAUCUCGCUAAGCUUCGUGUUGAUCUCAUCAAACUUCUCCUUGCAUGGAAACUUUGCAUUUUUCUCCUUCUCGAGGACUCCAGAGAUUUUGUCGGCGAGGGAGACCACAUCUUCCUGGGACAUUCUUGGUUCCAACUGAAAAAAAAAGAAGAAGAAGAAAAGAGGUAGCUGCUAUAGAGAGUGGAUGAGGUCUUAUAGUCUAGUUGCUUGAGAUUAGCAAGUUCAAUAUAUCCUGCAAGUUAAUGGAAUAAGUAAAGGUGACCAUUCUGAAAGCAGUUCCUUGUUAAGUAGGUAAAGAGAAAUAUGCAUGUAUGUAGGAGGAAUAAGUAAAGAAGGAAAGACAGAUCAUUUGGAGAAGGAAAAAGAAAAGAAGAAAAAAAAAGAAGAAAAAGAAAAAAGAAUGUGAUUCUUUGUAAUGUUUCAAGUAAUGUAUGAUUCUUUCUUCGAGUAUACUUAAUUCUGACCAAGGGGGAAUAACAGAUUACUGUCAAACAAUGAAAAAGAAGGAUCAUCAUCAACAUCAUCCAAAUCUAUUAUUAGAUAAAUUGGAUCUGCUAGAAAGCAUUUGCAAACCAAAAAACUUUUUAGAAGAAUUUUCCAUUUCUUAAACCGAAAUCAAAUUUCUCAAUCCUCUGGCAGAGCAGAAGGAGAAGCUUCUCAAGAAAUCUACGUAGUCGAAGUUUACUUCUCUGUUAUCGACCAUCUCAUUGCCGAUUCUUGCAGAUCGAUGUACUCUCAUAAUAGUUAUAUCUCCAUAUGUCCCAAUGUCCCAUUAAAUUAAUUUUUCAUGUAACAUUUCUAUAUGUUGAGAGUGAAUAAAUCUUUUCAUUGUGUUAACUCAAACAAGUAUUGAUGAGUUAUAUGUGGUAAAAAUAUAGGAUGAUGAAUUCUCUGGGCCUGAAUAUAAAGGGGCGCAUAAUAAUUGUCAGGUAAGUUUCUUAUUUCGAAUAAAAAGUUCACUUCAAUGAGCUUAUUAUUUAUAUCAUGUGACUUAUGCUUUUCUCUCUGUCUCUUCUUUUCAUAAUUACUCUUCUCUAAUCCCUUUUUUUUUUUUUUGUGAAGGGGUGCUCAAUCACUUUAUAACAAUCAUAGUAUAUGUGAGAUGUUUACUACUGAUUAUUCAUUUACGGCUUCUUUGCUGUUCUUCCAUUCAUCAACUUGUAAUAAACAGUAUAUGUGAGAUGUGGCAGUAAGAGAAAUCAAUCAGGUGCAGUGUUUUGUAGGUCCACAUAACACAUUGCGGAACAUCUUAAAAACCAUAGCAUAUGCGAGAUUUGUUUCCAGCCAAAGUGGAUUUUGUGUGCCUAUUUUUGUCUUUUUAGAGCAAAGUUCAGAAACAGAUUGCUGUGUCUAAAGUCACCAAAGCCAAAUUUAUUCAAAUUUAAUUUCUGAUCUCUCAUGCAUUGUUUGAUUGGGAGAUAACAGGGACGAGCGCAUCAAGGAACUGAACUAAAUCAUGCAUUGACGUUGCAUCCAGCAAAGAUAACAAUGUAAACCACUUUUGCUUUCCUUCAUGCUGUAUGAAGUAAUGUGCAGAGUAUUGCAUGAACUCUUAACAGAGUCAAUAUUACAAGAUUAAGAAGAAUAGGUGAUGAUACAGAUAUGAACUUUGAAGUUCUUAUUUGAAAGGCGAAUUACAAGUAGACACAGCUCAGUAAUUGACAGAAACAGAAGAAUGUAAAGAAAAGCAGAGAACAAUUUUCAUUUGCGUCAGAAGUUUCACGGUGAGUUUGGUCAAGGGUUGCCUUCUCCAUCACCAAUAGUAGCACCAGGAGGAGAAGUUGCAGGAACUAUGCUGGGAUUUGAUGGAGCUUCUGUAGCAGCAUUGGUGCUGGAGUUAUUUGUGGGGUUAGCAACAGCUGAUGUUGAGGCAGCACUAAGAUCUUGAAGAGCAGGUUCAGCGGUAAUUAUUUCAUCAGGAGGAACAACAAAUUUGGGGCUAGUUUUAUCAGUUGGAGUUUGACGAUGAGUAGUUUCGGUGAUAUUUUCUUCCUUGGAAGCAGCAAAAGUUUCGGUCGUAGCUUCAGUAGUAGGUGAUCCAUGAAGAUCUUCAGGUUUAUUGUCAGUUUCUUCCUUGGAAGCAACAGCAGUUUCGGCGGUAGCUUCUUCUUUUUCUUCUUCUUCUAUUUCUCCGCCUUCUUCCUCAGAAGCAGCAACAGUUUCCGCCGCAGCUUCAUCGGUAGGAGAUCGAUGAAGAGAAGGUUCAGUGGUAGUUUCUUCCUUGGAAGCAGCAGCAGUUCCUGCGGUAGCUUCAUUAGUAGGAGAUACAGGAGAAGCAGGUUCAGAUGUACCUUCAGCAGGUUCAGUGGUGAUUUCUUCAUCAGAAGCAGCAGCAGCUUCAGCGGCAUCGUCACCCAUAGCAGUUUCAUCAGGAGCAGUUUCUGGGGUAAUAUUUUCUUUAGGAACACCAACAGCUUCAGUGCCAGCUUCUUUAGUAGGAGAUCCUUGAAGAGCCGGUUUCGCAUCACUUGGAGGAACAGCUGCGGAUGUAGAAGCAUCAUCUGGAGCUGUAGGACUAGGAGCGACGGUCUUCCUUUCCUCAUCUUUUUCAUCUCUAAUCCAAACAUGAUUCUGAUCCAAUGGAGGAGGCCACUUAAGCUUCUCACACUUGACAAGCUCUAACCGAUCUAAUUUUGGCAUCAUAUCUCUUAUUUUUGACCAUUCCAUGUCAAAAGCAUCCAAAUAUUUUAGACGCAAUCUUUCAAUGCUCCGAUAAGAAAUGCCGGUUGCACUCGAUUCAUCUUCAGGGUCAAGGGUCUGAAGUAUUCCUCCUCUAAUAUAUAGUCUUUUUAAAUUCUGAGCCUUAUCAAACCAAUUCGGCAUUUUUUCAUAAGGGAAGCACCGCAUAUCAAACUUUUCGACACUCGGAGGAAGCGUAAGCGUCUUCCAUUUCUUUGCAAUGGAAUUGGUUGUAGAAUCACCGAUUGUCGGUAUCUCACCCCAUGUUAUUGUAAGAGAUAGUACACUUGAAAAGUUGCUCAACACAGUCAUUUCAUUGUCUUCGAUGUGCGCGUCGCUUGUUAUGUUUAUGCUAAGUUUCCUCAACUUCCUCAACUUGCUUAGCUCCUUCAAUCUGCAUCGGUUCGUACGUCUUGAUCCACCAAACACGAACCCUUUGAAUACUUGGAGUUCCGAGAGGGAUCCAAAUCCACCGGCAAUGUGCUCUAGCAAGUAGCACUCCGUUAAAUCUAAACGCGUCAAUCUUUUCAAAUAUGUAGCAUACUUGCCCACCUUCUCCAAGUAUUGGCACCCUCUCAAAUCUAAGAUAAGCAAAUUUUUUAGCUCUUUAAUCUUGGGGGGAAGUGCAGUCAGCCCAGACAAGCCUUGCAACCCGAGGUACCGGAGGUUCGUGAGAAGACCAAUGUUGUUCAAGUCUUCAAAACCUUCUACCUCAAUAUGGUACUUAGCAUCGCCGUGCCACCGGCCAAGCUGAAGCACGACUAGGCUUUUAAUAUUGAGGAACUCGUCCAAUUGCGAGCGAUAAGUUUGCUUGCUAACAUUGAACACUACUACUGUCGGUUUUUCGGUUUUACCUGCUCCUACGCUGCUAUCACUAACAGAAGAAGGCGAAGAUAGUUCUGUUUCUGAAGUUAGACAUAGACGGGGGGAUUUAGAUAGUUCAGCAGGCGGCAUACCUGUCUCAUCCAAGACACAGAAAGAAGCUUCUCUUGCCUUCUUCUUGAUCAUCCAGUGAACAAAGGGUUGAACUCGGCACUCAUGGAUUGUGCUGGUGCAGCUGUUGCCGAUGGGCUCGAUGAAACCAAGAUCAGCGAGUCGUUGAAAGCGUUGUUCUUCGACUUCCUCUGCAGUUUUAUGAUCUGGUGAAGAAUUGGCAAAGUCCUCCCCGAUCCACCAAUAUAUCAUGAUCUGCUUCUUGAUUUUCGAACCAGGCUCGAACACAGAAAAGCACUGCAGACAUUGCUUUUCUAUGUCAGUCAAUUGAUUGAAUUCACGGUUAAGUAGCCUCGCGCUUUCUUCUUCGAGGAUCUUCUCUAGCCUCGCAUCCAUCUGAGACCAUUCUGGGUGCAAUUCUUCUUUUUUGUCCUCCCUCUUUUCUUCUGGAAUCAGUGUCUGUCCAUCAAGAGCAGGUUUAGAAGAAGACUGCCGCUUCCAGUACAGCGAAAGCACAUUGAAAACUGCUUUCAAAAAUCGCCAUCGCUUUUGUCGAGGCUUCUGCGACUGUGCUUGUAGAGAAGACUCCUCCUCUUCUGGCUCCAUCUUCUCUUCUCUGAUGCUUUCAUGAGGCUCCGCUUGUAUCUCUUCUUCUCUGGAGGACAAUUGAGGCUGGGAAAGCAUUUCCGCAUCUGGAGGUGGAAUUGGAUUCGGCGGUAGACGAGGCUGUUCGUCGCGACUGCGAGAGAAUGGUGAAAGAAAUGCGGAUCUGAGAAGGCUCCAUUUGCUCAUUGCUGUUCUCUUCUUCUGCUUCAAUUGAUCUCCCACUUAUUCCAUUUGUCACUAGCUCUUUGUUUGUGUCAAGUUUAGCAUGUCAUAUGUGAAUCUAGUCUACAUGUAAUCGACUUAACACCGCAGGAAACAAAGGAUCUUUUGUCCAUGGAUAUUAGAGAGGAACACCAAAUUCAUUAUGUGCUCUACAUUUCGUAAAGCGCCAUCAAGGUUUGGGAGAAUACUUAGUACCUUAAGGUAUCGAAUUCUUACUCCAUUGCCAUUGUUCUUUGUUCUAAUCUCUGUCAUAAAGCAAGCAUCGCAUUUUUCAGAAAACAAGCAAGCAUCAUUUUUUCUCAUCCUUUGAUUAAAGGCUAAUAGAACGGCAUCACCAGUACAACUGCUUUGCCUUUUUAUGAGUUAUGCUUCAUGAAGUUACCUUCUUUAAUUCUUUUGCAUGGAACCAAGAUAACUGGGAAAGGAAGUGUUCUGUAUCAACAUACUACUUGGUUAUAUAUGGGGAACUAGGGAUCUUCAAGAUGAAUGCGUCUGAUCUGUUCUUCUAACAGAUUAAGAUUGAUGUCUACACCACAGUUUCAGAAAAAGGUUGCAUCAGAGAAAUUUAUCUUCAAAUUUGAGCGGCAAUGAAUAUACAAAUGUUGCAUUUAUGAUGAGAAUAGCUUUCACUCCAGUGUUAAGACUUAUGGGGAUUUUUGGGCCGGCCCAUUCCCCAUGGACAGAGCAUUCACUGGGCCAGUUUAUUUUAUUAAAAUUGUCUCUACAGUUCGGGCCUAUUUGUGUUGCUGUAUCUUGUGGGCUUUUCACUGUAGAGAGGCUUUGUAUCACUAUAAUAGGCCCAAUCCGGGAUAAAUAGAAAGGUGAGAAAAAAAAAACAAUAUAAUACUGCAAGGCCAAGAAUCAUUUACUUAGUCACGAGGCUUAUCUGUAUCACUAUUAAAAAAAAAAAAAGAAAAGAAAAGAGAAGAAAAGAAAAUGCUCCACAUGACUAAGAGUUUGUUUGGCCUGUGUGAAACCUUUUUAUCUUUUUCUCUAUUGUUUACCUCCAAAAGCUCUGUAAAAGUUGUACUAUACAUAAACCCGGUAAACUAGGGGCUUGAAUCCUUUUUUUUUAGCGGCACAAUAGUGGGGCUCGGGGGUUCGAACUUCUUACCUUAGGAUAAGUGCCCAACUAACAACAAACUAUUUUAGGUAUAUAGUAGUUGUUAAAUGUCGUGCGGUAGAUUAAAUACUGUUUGAGUAAUACUAUUAGGAUGAAUGCUUUAUUAAUAAAUCAAAGCUUGUACGUAAGUGGCAAUAGUUGGUACUCAAGGUUCCAAAUUCGAAUCAUAAUUGAUUCAUAUUUUCAGUUAAGAUUAUUUAAAAAUAAAAUAAACAAAGUAGAUAACAUACUACAUAUAUCUAAAAAAAAAAAAAAAUCAAAGCUUUUGCCUUAGGGCCUGCAAUCUUAUUUUUUGCUUUCCGUCACGUCAGAAGCUUUGGUCCUUUGGGUUAAUCAAACACUCUAUUUGAGAUGAUUGCUGCUGAAUCAGAAAUAGGUGCAGGCCAAAACAGCCGAUAAUGAAACCCUCAACACUAUACAAGAAAUACUAAUUUGUGGGGACACAUUAUAUAUAUAUAUAUAUAUAUAUAUAUAUAUAUAUAUAUAUAUAUAUAUAUAACCCUUUUUGGUGCAAUAAAAUCACUUUAUAAAAUGAGACUCGGAACCAUUAAUUGAGGGCGGGCCCUCAUCCUGAAAUUCUGAAGCUCAGGUUCUUAAUUUCUCAUCUGAUCAUCUCUCUCUCUCUCUCUCUGCAUGUGUGUAUGUUGCUGUUGGAUUUCUUGGGUAUCUUUUAAGAGUGGAAGCAUGCAAGUGAGACAAAAGAGACUUUUUACUUCUAGUGUGAGAGAGAGAGAAAUAGAGAUGUCUAGAGAGAGAGAGAGAGAGAGAGAAAGAGAGAGAGGUGGGCGUGGCAAAAUCUAUGAGGAGAAGCCGCAUUUAUGCAUGUUGCUAUUCCUGCUCUUUUUCUUUGGUCGGCUGGUCAAAAUCUAGCAAAACGGCGGACAGACUGAACCAUCAGCUGGUCGGCAAGGAAGGCAUUCAACAUUAUCUCCUUUUUGAACUAUCCAUCUUUAUAUACGAGAAGCACGCGGUUCACAAAAUCUCUCUGCUUCUGUUUCUACGUGUUAUUUGUAUAUAUUGUUUUAGUUUAACUUUUGAAAGAUUCAGUAUCAUAGAAGGAGAUUUUCAAACCUCAUCAGAUUUAAGUUCACAUCUUAGGUCAAUCAAGAAACUAGUGGUAAGAUACGAAUGUGAGCAGUACUAAAUACGAAAUUAUUAAAAUAUACCCUCUGUAUAUAAGUAUAAGGUUUUAAGAUAAUCGGCUGUUUGACAAGAUUCAAAACCCCUGCAUAUAUGAAUUGUGCACGCCAAAUAAACGCUAGGACCGUACACACCAGAAGCGUGGCCUUUUUUAACUAGCUAAGCUCUAUCGUUAGUUGAGUAUCAGGUCAAAUAAUGGGAUGAUAUGUCGCUGUACAUAUUGCUUUGAAAUGUGGAGGUCGAGUCGCACUUCAUCAUCCUUUACAAGACCAGUUCAUGAUAAGUCGACAUCUGGGUUUCGAGUGUUGAUUUGUGAUUUGUUCCAUGUCGAACAAUCUUUUUGGCUACGCUUUUGCUGAUGCUGAUGAGUUUGGCAGCAAUCAUGUUCCCAGUUUGGCCUGAUUUUUUUGUUGAGUCUAUUUUAGGCAACUUUCCUGUAGAAUUAAUAGAACAUUUGAAGAUGAAAUAAAAUAUAUAUAAGCUAAGGCUUAGUUUGGUAUCGAGAUCUAUCUGACGUUAUUAGGGUAAAAAUAUAUAUGGAUAUGUUUCUACAUUCUCCGGUGAGACCGUGAAAAAUAAUUUACCGUAACUGACUCGUCGCAAUAUGCGAAACGCAAUAUUACGUACUGAAACAAAUAGAAUAUUUUCUUACCGUAUUUUCUCACCGUACGUAAUGUAAUCUCUCCACAAUCCCAAACGAAGUCUAAAGCAGAUUAGGUAUAAAUAGUUUGUCGGACUCAUUAGGUGCAUGAUUGGUUGGCUCCCAUUAAUUAAAAAAAAAAACGUGGUGGGGUUCGUUUUUCAUUUAAUUCUACACUCAAGUGUAACCAUUUUUAUAGAGCAUCUAAUAAACAAAAGGAGAAAAAAUCUAAAAUUUUGUAUUACACAAUAAUACUAGAAUGAGAUUCUAAUUUACAUCAAAUACUGCUACUUUACUAGUAUCAAAAUUAGUUUAUCCUGCAAUAUAUAUAUAUAGUUAUUAAUAUUUUUUUUUUUUGAGAAAUAGAUAGUAUGCUAUCCGUUUCAUUUAUUUUAUUUAAAAAUAAAUUUUUAUUUCAUAUAGUUAUAAAUAUAUUGGAGAAGAGUUAGCACUGAUUUUAUUUUUUAUGUAAAUUAGAGUACCAACAAGGCUCCAAUUUUUAUGUUUUUCGUGAUGUAUUGAACAAUAAUCCUAGUAACCUAUGAGUACUUUUUAAAUCUUUGAGAGGGGAGAGAGAGAGAAAGAUUAUCUUUUAAAUAAAAUAAAGUAAAAUAAAAUUAUAAAAAAAAAGUCUGCAAGGGGACGCGAGCCGACCACGUGGCAGACACCGGGUGGUCCAACGUAAUUGUACGUUGGGCCCCACCGCAGCAAUCCUUACACACCACCUGUCCUCUAUCUCGAAGACUAUUUAAUAAUAUGCACGUGAUAAAGGAAAUUAAAGAGUCGAAAUGGGGAUUGGGGAACCACACACUCGUUCCUAUCUUUUUGCACUCCUAGGAUAAUCAAAACCUGCUUUUGAACGAUGCUCGCGCUGUCAAAUGAACCUCUAGAAGCUUUUAUUAAAUUACUUAAUUAAUAAUUUGUUCACAGUAAAAAAAAAAUUAAAAAAUUGGCGUAAAGUUUCUGUUUUUGAUAAUUAGAAUUAGCUAACUUUAUAUAUAUAUAUAUAUAUAUACACUAUCUUCUGAUUUUAUUUUCUAUGGAGGAAUCAUUAGAACACAAUCAAAUAUUAUUUGAUCAAGCUAGCUGAUUAUAUACAAAAAGUAAGUGACCAUGACUUUAAUGUCUAAGUUUGACCACAAUUUUGAUUGCAUGCAUAUAUCCAGAGAGUUUUCGCUUAGUGAUCGAUUUAGUCUAAAAAAUUUGGCUAGUGUGGGAUUUGAGAUUUUUUUUUUCUACUAAUUAAUAUCUCGUGAUUUCUUUGAUUAUGAUAUUUUCAUGAAGUUUCUUUAAUAGUGAUCCAGUGUUUAAAGGACAUGAUUGUUCCAAAAUGUAAUUGACGUACCGAGAUCAAACUUGAGGGACUAGAUUAUUUAAUUAGAAUCCUAAAAGAAUUGCAAAAUAGUUCUACUUUGUGUAGCAUCAUAUAAUUGACUUUUACAGUAGCUAGGUUCACAAUUAAUCAUCGCACCAAAGACUUUUUGGAACAGAUGGAAGAGAACCCAAUUAAGAAGCACUUUAUCAUUUUCAACCAUUUAAGAAGUUCUCACCCAUCAUGUGAGCAUGACACUUGCCGAUGUGGAAAUCCCCAUUUUCUUCUCCUUGUGUGAGUUGUUUUAUGUGCGCUGUGUCGCCUCAUUAAAGACAACAACGCUUUGUAAAUAGCUUGCUAGGUAAAGCAACCUCAUUAGGCCAUUUUUCAUAGCACCUGGCGAUGUAAGCAUGGGUUAAUAAUUAAUGACAUGGCCAACAACUUUGUAAUCUGCAAGAAGAUAUAUAGAGCUUUCAUAUAGCAAAUUAAGCUUUUGUAAUAUACAUAUAAAAAAGACUUAAUUAAGAGGGAAAAUAAACUUGGCAACAUCGAUCUACUACUUUUUAGAGUAUGAAAGCAAAGAAAAACUGUGCAAAGAUUUCUCUUCUUGCAUCACUAUGGACACCAUGGACUCUCUCUCUCUCUCUCUCUCUCUCUCUCUCUCUCUCUCUCUCUCUCUCUCUCUCUCUACACACCUAAUCCUCAUGCGUAAUCUCUCUUUCUCUCUCAAUCUCAAUUUUUACAUGUAAUCACUAACAUCCAAAAGGCCAGGAAUUUGAAACUUGAACAUGUUGCUGCAGUAGCUCUCUCUCUCAUCCUCGACACUGCUAUUAAUAUGCGUCGAUGACGAGUUUAAAGGAGUCGAACUUGAAUCCGGUGUCGAUAAGACGGAGUCAAGGUUAUAGUCGUGGUAGCCGGUGAAUCCUCGCGAGUCGGAAUUGUUGACCAUUUGAAGUAUGCUUGGAUCCCAACUAUCGUAAGCACUUGUAUCGUAAGGUUGGUGCAUUUCCAAAAGCCUGGCUUGUUCCAACAUGUCUUGUAUUGACAUAUUGUUGUGAGCCUCAUUUGUAAAUUGUCCUACAUUGGCUUGUAUGAGCUGUACCUCAUCAAGGAAUUGAGCACUUGGGUUUGUGCUGGGAGGAACCUCUUGGGCUAAACUUUGUGGAAUUUGAGGUUGCAAUGAGGAAAGUACAGUAUUUGGCUCUUGGGUAUGCGAAAAGUUCGGCUGUGAUAGAUUUUGAGCCAAAGGAAGGUUAGGAUUUUGAUGGUGAGAAGCUGAUAGGAGAUCAGUGGCCAUUCUCAGGAGCUCCGAAUUGACAAGUGGCUCGAGCCCGAGCAAUCUCGAGAGUUCGAGUUGAUGAGCCGGGUUGUACAUGGAUGGAUUAAGAAGCGACGAGAGGUCCAGGAGAUCGAAGCGAGGGGUAUGAGUGACAGGAUCUAUUCCCAUUCUCAGUAGCCUCUUUCUAAUGUGCGUGUUCCAGUAGUUCUUGAUCUCAUUGUCUGUUCUCCCAGGCAAGCGCGCGGCUAUCGCAGACCACCUGAAAAGUUUUAGAUCAACAAACCGCUCAUGAGUAAAUGCAUUCCAACAAUGAACACAAUUAAUUAAAUACAUAUUGGAUUGUUUAAACUAUGGGAGUUAUCUUACUUGUUACCCAAAACACUGUGUAAUUGGAUGAUGGCCUCUUCCUCUUCAAAUGAGAACCUUCCUCGCUUGAUGUCGGGCCUCAGAUAGUUGGUCCACCGGAGCCGACAGCUCUUCCCGCACCUCGCGAGCCCUGAUACAAAUUACGCAAACAUAUUGAUAAGCCAACAAAUCAAGAGAAUUUACAGCCCAAGGCCGAAAAGGAAAAAGCACGAAACGCGCAAACUCACCGGCAUUCUUGGGAAGCGUCCGCCAAUUCCCUUGGCCGUUUUUUCGGAUAUACUCGACGAGCUUCUGGUCCUCCUCCGGCGUCCACGGCCCCCGCUUCAAACCAUUCUUCUCACAACAUGGUGCUCUCCCCAUCGCAUUCAACUAAUUAAAACCGACCACACCACCUUUUUUUUUCUCUUUUUUCUUUCCCUUCUUCCUCUCUUCGCAGUUGGUAAUUAAGGAUGAAGAGCACAGGUGCAGAGCAAGCUAAGAAGAGCUCAAAAAAGGGCUUUAUAAUUGUUGGGACCCAAGCCGAAGGGAAAAGGAGGUGUUGAAUAUAUAGAAGGGAGAAGUGUACGUAUGUGGCUAUGUCGAGAGAGAGAGAGAGAGAGAGAGAGAGAGAGAGAGAGAGAGAGGGAGAAAGUCAAAAGGAUUCGGUGCCGUCCUUUGUUUAUCACAAGUGCGACGUGUCUCACUCCCUUAGGGCUCAAUGGGACCUAUCUCCCUCCCGGGAACUAAAUAAUUAAUAAUUACACCAAAACGUUUUAGAGGAGCAAUGCGGCUCUACAAUUAUUUUUUACUUAUUAUUUCAUAAUUUAAUUAUUCAACAGUCCAACCUUUUUCUUUGUUUUACUAGUUUUAUCACUUUUUUGUUAGUUAGACCAUAAAAAAAAAAAAAAUUGAACUCUAGGCAAUAGGAUUGCAAGUAAUUCUACAACCUUUUUGGACUAAGCUUUUUUUUUUUUUUUUUCAUAAGAUAAUAGUACGAGAAAUACUAAAUCUAUAACUAAAAAAAAAGAGUUGCAAUCCUGAGAAUCUUUCAUCCGAAGACGGUUAAGACUAGUUAACUCCUUUAAGAAAAAGUAAUGAGACUUGUGAAGAAAAAGUAAUAUCUUUUUUUUAAAAAAUAUAUAUAUAUUAUUUGGACGAGAGCGCUACAGGAUUAUAAGUCAUUUUGGAUUGUAGAUUUAGCAAUGCUUUAACAGUAGUGAAAGGGAAAAUAAUGUGAGGAGGAGGAGGAGGAGGGAGAGGGGGAAAAUCGAGUGGCUUAUCCGUUUUCACAUUAGAUGGAGUUGACCACGAGUCGACACGUUGCAUGGUGACCUCAGAUGAGGCAUGAUGAGGUGGUUGGGCGCCACGUAUAAGCCGUGGUGGGUCCCUCUCACGUUCACGGCGCGCUCUGCAUGCAUGUCGAUUGGUAGAUCUGCAACAACAACAACCAGCUCCGUGAGCGCGCACGCGGGAAAUAUCUUUCGUGUUUGUGGCCAUUGCGAUUUGAAAGAGAUAAAUUAAGGACAAUUUUUGGGUUUUUUCAUUUGAGCUAAUUCUCUUUUGCCAUGCAAAAUAAAAAUAAGAAAAUACAAAUGUAAAUCAAUGAUACGGAAAAUGAUUUGCAAACGACAUGAAUUUGGCCUGGGAUAUGUGGAUGAUUAGAAAAGGGUGUCAGACAUAGAGCGACGGACUGGCUGGAUUUAUAACUUGCUGGUGGGUUAUCUGGGAGGUCAGAAACAAUAUGAUCUUUUGAAGGACUCCGACGAACCCCCUAUUAGCCAUCAGCAAAAUCAAGCAGUUAAAGUACGUUAUCUCAUCGAAAUAACUUUUUAAUUUAAUUUAAUUUAAUUUAAUUUAUUUAUUUAGUUUUUUUUUUUCCACUCAUCUUGUUUGAGGCCUAUUGUUGCCUCACCCUUGUAGCCUAAUUCAUACUUGUAAUAAUAAAACGGGUAGCGUGCUAUCUUUAUCUCAAAAAAAAANUUCAUAAGAUAAUAGUAAGAGAAAUACUAAAUCUAUAACUAAAAAAAAGAGUUGUAAUCCUGAGAAUCUUUCAUCCGAAGACGGUUAAGACUAGUUAACUCCUUUAAGAAAAAGUAAUGAGACUUGUGAAGAAAAAGUAAUAUCUUUUUUAAAAAAUAUAUAUAUAUUAUUUGGACGAGAGUGCUACAGGAUUAUAAGUCAUUUUGGAUUGUAGAUUUAGUAAUGCUUUAACAGUAGUGAAAGGGAAAAUAAUGUGAGGAGGAGAGGGGGAAAAUCGAGUGGCUUAUCCGUUUUCACAUUAGAUGGAGUUGACCACGAAUCGACACGUUGCAUGGUGACCUCAGAUGAGGCAUGAUGAGGUGGUUGGGCGCCACGUAUACGCUGUGGUGGGUCCCUCUCACGUUCACGGCGCGCUCUGCAUGCAUGUCGAUUGGUCUGCAACAACAACAACCAGCUCCGUGAGCGCGCACGCGGGAAAUAUCUUUCGUGUUUGUGGCCAUUGCGAUUUGAAAGAGAUAAAUUAAGGACAAUUUUUGGGUUUUUUCAUUUGAGCUAAUUCUCUUUUGCCAUGCAAAAUAAAAAUAAGAAAAUACAAAUGUAAAUCAAUGAUACGGAAAAUGGUUUGUAAACGACGUGAAUUUGGCCUGGGAUAUGUGGAGGAUUAGAAAAGGGUGUCAGACACAGAGCGACGGACUGACUAGACUUAUAACUUGCUGGUGGGUUACCUGAGAGGUCAGAAACAAUAUGAUCUUUUGAAGGACUCCGACGAACCCCCUAUUAGCCGUCAGCAAAAUCAAGCAGUUAAAGUACCUGUGGGGGCAAAUUAUCUCAUCGAAAUAACUUUUUAAUUUAAUUUAAUUUAAUUUAUUUAUUUAGUUUUUUUUUCCACUCAUCUUGUUUGAGGCCUAUUGCUGCCUCACCUUUGUAGCCUAAUUCAUACUUGUAAUAAAUAAAACAGGUAGCGUGCUAUCUUUAUCUCAAAAAAAAAAAGAAAAAAAGAAAAUGAUUUGUAUGGGCUGGUUUUGAUAUAAGAAUUGUUUUUUUUUUUUUUUUUUAAGAAAUGCUUGACAGGAAAGUUAGGUAUAUCAUAUUUUCACAUGCAAUUAAUUAUCUUUUGUACUACCCCUUUCUUAUGGUAUGAUAAAUCAAUUUGAUUUUCAUCACAACUUUUGGACCAUUUAUUAUUGCCUAGUAUGUACAUAUAUAGAUAUUGCCAUUCAAUUCAACUUAAAAAACUACAUUGCAAACAAAGAGAUGCUAAGGGAACAAAUUUUCAAAGAUCAGAAUCUUAAAAAUCAAACUAAACAGUAAAUUAAGUGCAUUGGAAGAUUAAGAACUCAUGAUGCAAUUUAUUUCCCUCAUGCGCAUGAUUAAUUCAUGAAGCCAUCUAAUCUGCAGUUGUAUUCUCUGUGGACAUUGACAUUUUGCUCUUAAUUAUUUUGCCAAGUGACUAUAUUUGUUCUUUGACUAACUAUUUGUCCCAUCCUCAUUUUUGAAAGACACAUCAUGGCCUGAUUUGAUUUGAUUGAUUGACCAAUUAAUUUUGGUUUGUAGCCACUCACUUUUAGUUUUCUUUCUACAGAUAGAACAAAUUAAUAGAAAAUGCCAGCUUUUAAUUAACUGGUCCAUGCAUCUUUAUUAAUCUAAGGUUUAAUUAAUUUAGACCCUCGUUUUUUAAUCGUAAUAUAAUAAAAAAUGAAUUUUCAAUUUAGACAGAUAAUUAAGAUUUAUUAAAUGCAGUUGCAUUAAAUUAAUAAAUAUAUAAUUAACCAAUUCAAUAAAUUUAUACAUCAACAUCAAUACUAAAUUUAAUAGUUUAAACUGUCAUUUAACUAGUACUAUACAUUUAUGCACGUGCUUAUUAGCCUUUCAUGAUAAUUGCACACAUACAAUAUAUUCAACGUUUGUCGACAAUUAAUAUUGUGUCUUUUUCUCUCUCACACACAUACAGAAAAAAAUGUUAAAAAAAAUAAAAAGGGGAGAAAAAAUUUUGAAAAUGCUCCUCCUAUAUAUAUAUAUAUAUAUAUAUAUAUAUAUAUAAAUAUUUUCCGAGCACAUGCUCCUGCGAAAUGAUUAUUUAUAGUAUAAUAUAGGAGUCAAAUUUUCCACUUUAAAUAAAACUUUCAUGAUAAUUGCAUACAUACAAUAUAUUCAAUGUUUGUCGACAAUUAAUAUUAUACCUUUUUCUCUCUCACCCUGUCACNAUAUAUAUAUAUAUAUUUUCCGAACACAUGCUCCUGCGAAAUGAUUAUUUAUAGUAUAAUAUAGGAGUCAAAUUUUCCACUUUAAAUAAAACUUUCAUGAUAAUUGCAUACAUACAAUAUAUUCAAUGUUUGUCGACAAUUAAUAUUAUACCUUUUUCUCUCUCACCCUGUCACACAUGCAGAAAAAAAAAAAGAAAAAAUAAAAGAGGGAGAAAAAUUUUGAAAAUGCUCCUCUAUAUAUUAUAUAUUUAUAUAUAAAUAUUUCCCGAACACUUGCUCCUGUGAAAUGAUUAUUUAUAGUAUAAUACAGGGGUCAAAUUUUCCACUUUAAAUAAAAUAUAGGUAUAUUUUCUGGGGACGUAGUUAUCAAUCAAUUAAAAGUGGUAGCCUAAUGUGCAAAAUUUCGUGAAGGGUGAUGUACUACACUCACCGCGGGACGCGUGUCGUGAACCGGGCCUUUCAUUGCACCCCCACGUGGGGCCCACAGGGCCAAUCACCUUCCCGUGGACUGCCACGUCACUACCUCGACGCGUGUCCCACGGUCUCUUUCCCGGCAACAUGGUCCCUACGUUUUGGCGCGAGACUCUUUCUUUACGAUUGCGACGCAUAAUUAUUAUACAAAAAAAAAAUCAAGUAUGAUUGUGAGUCCCAAGUAAGCAAACAAUAAUUUAGAAAUUGGGUCUUGUUUUGGGUUGUAGUAUUAUAUGAUAAAGUUUUAUUUGAAUUUUGCUUUUAGAAUAAGUUCCAUAUUAAAAUAUGACGACCAUUUUUCUUUUGUGGGGGGGGCCACGCGUAUUAAAUUGUACUUUCUAAUUUUAAGAGUGAAAAGCUUAUUUUUUGCUCACCAAACUCUCUUUUAUAUAGUUAAAUUUUGCUAUUGCUAGAAAGUAUUAUAACAAAUGGGCAAACAAGUUCUAAGUAAACAUGAAUUGAAUAAUUUUACUCAAACGAGACUUCAAUCAAUUUUUUUUUUUUUUUUUUUUUAAGAGAGAAGGUAGCAUACUACCGCUUCAUUCAUUAAGAAAGUAAACUGAGCUAUAUAUAUAAUUGCUUUCGUGCUUUGAAAAAUAAAAUAAAAAAAUCUGAAUAUAUAUUCUCGGAAGCUCGAUCUCCUCUAAUACUUUGAAAUGGUAGCUCUCGCCAUAAAUUUAUAGCAUUAUAAUAGAAGGAUACAAAGAGAUUUUAAAUUUUUGGCUCGUUUAAAACAUAAAAAUAAAUAUAUUAAUAGGCUAAAUUAUAGAAAAUUUUUCUGUCAAAAUCCGAUUUUUUAUUUUCUCCCAUGUCAUUUAAAAACCUACACUUUACCCCCUUAUAAAAUAAAAAAUGUUCACAAAAGAGUACGGUGUAAACUGAUGACAAAAUGACCAUUUUGCCCCCCACCAUUUUGCUCCUCACCAUGUUCACAGCAGAGAAGGCUAAAGACAUUUUUGGUAUAAAAAAAUAUAUAAUAAUAUUUUAUAAACGGAUUACUAACGGCAGAGGGCGAAGUGAACAUUUUUUAUUUUACAAUGGGGUAAAGUGUAGGUUUUUAAAUGGCAGGGAGGGAAAGUGAAAAAUCAAGUUUUGACAAGAAAGUUUUAUGUAAUUUAGCCAUAUUAAUAUGGACACUACACGUUUCCAAAUCUAGGAUCUUAAAAAACUCCACCUAGACCAAUUAAUUAGCCCUAAGCUAUAAUUAAGGAUAAACGUAGUGCUAAUAUAUAUAUAUAGAGAGAGAGAGAGAGAGAGAGAGAGAAUUAUGCUACUAUACUAUCAAUAGUACCAAGCCCUUGGUACUAUUGAGUUUUUGGCCGUUGGAUGAAAGGAUGUGCGGUUAGGAUGAUAGUGGUCCCCGGUUAAAUUGAUAGUGGUUCUCUAGGGUUGAGUGGGUGGUUGGUUUAAUAGUAUAAUCUAACGGGUGGAAAUGAUCAAAAGAUAGAUCUAACGGUAGAAAACUCAAUAGUACCAAGGACUUGGUACUAUCAAUAGUAUAGUAGCUGGACUCUCUCUCUCUCUCUCUCUCUCUCUCUCUCUCUCUCUCUAUAUAUAUAUAUAUAUAUAUGCAAUUCCACUGUUCAGAAAAUGAUAGUGCAUGUUGUCUCAUCCACUCCAACAACAACUUGGAUGGUCAAAUAUUAAUCUACUGAUCUUUUGCUUUACUAAAUAUUAUCUAACUUAUUUGCUAAUCAAAUAUUUUAAUCCCUAAACAGUAACCUGAUCAUGUUAUUUAAUCUCGGCUACAGUACACAAACCCUCGGUUUCAUAACGAAUCUUGGAAAAACAAUUUCCAUUACAAAGAAUAGAUAGGCUGGUAGUAUUGAGUUGGUGGUCCAAUUCGUACGAUCUCUCUCCAACUAACAAAUUAGAGUUUCCAAAAAUAGAAGAGACUUUUUGAUUCCUAACAAAAGGAUGAUGCUCGAUGCGGGCGAAAUUUGGAAUAAUUAAUUAAGUUGGAUUCAUAUGCAAGUUUUUGUUUUCGAAUGGUAUAUAGCAGAAUAUAUUGGUGGGCAACCUGGCUCGAGAGGAAUAGCAUUAUUUUCGAUGAUAGGGAAUUAAUAAUGAUCCAUUUUGUUAACUACUGUUCUUUGCAUUUCUUUUUUUUUUUGUUUUUAACAAUUCUCUUUAUUUUUCUCUUUUAGGCUUUGGCUUUUGUUCUUUCUUUGACCCUUUUUUUUUUUUUUUUUUUGAGAGAGAGAGAGAUAGGUAGCACGUUACCAACUUCGUUUAUUUCAUUCAGAAAUAAACUUAGCUAAAAAUGUGAAUCAACUAAGAUUCGAACUUUAGUCUCGGGUAGUAACCACCAAGCCCUUUGCCACUUACUCUAGAAACGGUCGGUUCUUUGACCCCUUGCCGUCUCAUAUUUGUAGCUUAGUUUAUUUAACUUAAUAAAUAAAGGUGCUAGCAAGUUAUCAGUAUCUAAAAAAAAAACAAACACAAAAAAAAGAGUUAUAGCGAACAUUUUUCAUGUCCAGGCUCAAAAUUUUGACAAUAUAUAUAUGUAUCAUAAAGAGGUUUAUCAACUCCUAGAUUAAGGGUGUAAGAUGCACGAUCCAUAUAGUAUUUUUCAAACUUUGAUAGUUCUAUAAUACAUAAUUGAUUGGAUAAGAGAAAAUUAAAUGACAUAAAAAAUCUUAAAAAUUUUAAACUCGAUCAGGAUCUCCUCGACUAAUUCUAUAUGAAGUAAUUGUUUUCUCUGAAAAAUCUACAAGAACAAAAGUAUUUUAAGAUAUUAUAUUCAACAGAAUGGGUGCGCUCCGUUUCAAACUUAUCUUAAUUUCACUCUAACCAUUCAUUUUUUUACACAAAUUUUAUAUUGGAAAAGUGUAAUAUAUUGGAUAGCCAAAAUUAUAUAUAUUAUUCUAUUGACACGUGGUGUCCUCAAAACCCCUCUGCAUGUGAUUAUUGAGGUACUCCGUAAAUUUGUAUAUAUAUAUAAUAAUAUACAUAGACUGAGAGGUCUUUCAAAAUUAAGACUAAAUGUAAACAAAAAAAAGAAAAAAAAUGCAUGGUCGGUUAAUCUCGACAGUGACAAUAUUUGAACGCGAACGUAAGAAGAUGUCAAGGGGAAAAUUAAUAAACCAGCUGUUUAAUUGAGAUGUUUCUUAUAAGAAACAUGCGCUCUUAAUGCACCAUAAAUUUCACACAUUUAGUCACAUAGUCAAGUGAAUAAAUACUUCAUUAAAAUUCUGUCUCGUGGGUGUGAAAACUCUCCAUGCACUGUUUCGUCCUCAUGAAGUGGUCCUUCUAGGUCAUAAGUUGAUAAACCUCCCAAUUUUGGGUUUUGCUUUUAAUUAACUUUAUCUUAUGUCAUAUCAAGCUAAACGCAUCUUAAAGUAACGACAUGUAUUUGUACAUGUAUUUGCGCAUGAAAUAUAUACGUCUAAUUAAUAAUCUAUCAUGUAGAUGUGCAUGGUAGAGAUCAGGUGAACCACAAAACAUGCAUUAGGGCACAGAAAUGUAUGCCGUUAGAUGGUGAAUUAAUGAACCUAGGAUCGAUCUCUUGUAAUUAAUUAAUAGAGAGUGUUGUCUUAACCAAAAGAACAAUCUAAUGAAAAUGACUCAGAAAUAAGCAUAUCGAGUCCAUGAUUACCUGCAACAAUGGCAGCUAAUAAGUUUAAUUUUCUUCUUAUCUACAACUGAUUACCUUUCAUUAUUAUUAGGUUGUAUGUAUAUCUUGAGUGGUGAAGCAGUAGUUUACAUAAAUAUAUGCCAUGCAUGCACUACAAUCGAGGUAGUAGGAAAUUUCAACACUCAAGGUUGAUGCAAAUCCGCAUCAACGACUAAUGGUUUACCUUGAUAUAACUAUAAUCAGUAUUAAAAGAACUAUUAGGUCUACAUUGUAGACCAUGAGAUCACAAGGUGCGGUCCGUCGCGGGCAAUGAAUAUAUAAAUACGCACAUAAUCUCAGCUGAUUAGUACAAUAUUAUUAAUUAUUUUAGUAAACUCGUGAUCGUACUUGAUUGCCUCCGUGUCUACCGCAACGGAAACAAGGUACAUGUUUUAUCACGAUCAUCCUUUUCCUCUUCAUGAUCGCCACAAGUAACUAUAAUCGCGUCCCUUGCGUGCUCGAUUUAGGCCUUACAUGGCGCUAUCGUAGCGAUCGAUAGAGCGUAUUGCGUACCCAAACGGGGUAGCUUACAACUAUCAAUGUUGACUCAAGCAAAGAGUAGAUAAUCGUCUCGACGUACUGAUCUAGCAUGAGGUGUCUCUUUUGGUCCACUAAAUCAUCAACCCUAAGGGUUUAAUAAUCCUUUCGAUUAAAUAAUUAUACUUUUUUGAGUGAAUAUAGUGUUUGUUAGUAUUUAGAUUUUUGGGUUAUUUGGUGAUUCGCGGAUCUACUUCUCUUCAUGGUCAUGCCUACAUCAUCCUAAUCUUACUGACCAUGCAAAAUAUAUAUUAAAUCAAGUAUCAUUAGAACCUUCAGGAGAGUUCUGUUUAAACACAUAUAUAUGAUCACAUCAGAGCUACUGUAUACAUUAAUCUUAUACUAAGUGAGCCAAUAUAUUAUUAUAUGUAUAAUAUGAAGGAGAACUUUGACCUUGCUCCUUCAAUUUGGAUAGAGUAAAAUCAGAUGGAAUGAGACCCUUUGCAAAAAAAUGGUUUCAGGUGUAAAUUACGAUGGGUUACUUUAAUAAUAUUAGUUAAUGUGGUCGUUGUCACGUGGGACACUCCCAUUUGUUAAUCAGAUAACCUAAUUAAUUAAUUAGGUUUGACACUUUGUCAAAAAUGAAUUUAGAAGUUUACAAUCAAGUACUAUUUGGGGCAAUCGCUAACAACUUCAUUUCAACUUAUCAACGUUUUAUUUUAUUUUAUUUUAUUUUUUCACUUUCCUUGCAUGGGAUCCCUUUAUUUUUUUCCUUCUUCUUUAUACAAGUAUUUAAUUUGUGUAUAAAAAUAUUAUUUUUCCAAUACGGCGAGCCGCGUAGGCUCGCCGAAUCAGCAAACCUAGCACAAUUUUCUAAUUCGAUACUACGAGAUCACAACGUAGUUGAUUAUUAGAGAAAAUCACAUCAUCUGGUGUAUUUAGCUUGGAUUCUAAUUUUUAUGUACUAAAAUGAAGGACCACUAAAUACUCUAAUCUUACAUUUGUUUGGUUUUAGCUGAGGCUUCUAUAGAGCUCGAUUAAAAGAAUUGGAAAUAAACUAUAAGGAAUGCUAAUGGACUUUUUUCUUCUUGUUUUUUUGAAUUUAUUGUUUUUAAUUAACUCCUUCGACAACUUUUCCAUGUGGCAAAAGUAUAAACAUCAAUCUCAAACUUUCGCUUUUGAAGUUUAAAAGCUACUUUUGAAGGUUUCUUGUGCCAAAAGCUUUAGAUAUUUUGUUUGUCCAAAAAUUUUGCAGCUUCGAACAAUAAAUGAUUUGUCCUAAAUGUUAGACCAAAUAGGCAUAUAAUUGCCACUAAAAGCUAUGCUAUUAUUCAUAGUUGAAUUAAAAGAACUUUGCAUUAAUAUUCACCAGCUAUAUAUAUCAAAGUUACCAUAGUUUUUUUUUUUUUUUUAGGAAAAAAUAGCUUGCUAUCCGUUUUAUUCAUUAUAAUAGUAAAUUAAGCUAUAUGGGUGAGGCAACACAGACCUCGUUCCCCUUAUUUCCAUAGUUAACUGGAAAUAGUGAAUUAAGUUACCAUAGUUAACUGGAACUCAUGAUAACAUAUUUUCCUUCUUUCCUCUUUUUCCCCUUAUUUAGCAUGCAAUAAUAAUUCAAUUUCUAUUCGAUCUCUCCCUUAUUUGCCCGCAUGUUAUAACUAUAACUUGAACUAUUACCUUUCUCUUUUCCCCCUUAGCGUAUAUUAUUAUUUGCUGCUAUGCUGUUCAUUCUACAUUGUGAGGCAUUGUUCAUAUUAUACAAAAAUAGUAUUUUUCUUCGAGCUGGCUCAAUUGUUCAACUGAAAAAAAAGCAGAUCUUAUAGUUACACACAAAGCAAGUAACAAAGAACUUGGUGGUUGGUAUCCGAGAUUUCAAAUUUGAAUCCUAGUUGAUUCACAUUUCUAGCUAAGUUUAUUUCUAAAUAAAAUAAACGAAGCGAGUACCGUACUACCUAUUUCUCAAAAAAAAAAAAAAAAGUUACAGAGAGAGAGAGAGAGAGAGAGAGAUCAUUCGUAGGAUCAGCGGAUAGUCUACGAAACCUCUGCAAAAGAGAAUCGAUCACGUGUUACAGAAACAUAUCUAUAUUCAUAUGGGUAAUUUAUAAUUAACCAGCAUAAUGUGCUUCCAACCUCUGUAGCUCUUAAUUAAAUGCCGGGAGUUUAGCGGGAGCAGGUAAAAUAGUAAUAAAUCAAAGGAUUGAAAAAUUAGAUAUAUGUCAUUAGUAAUAUACUUUUGAAAACAUUCUAGUUAAACCUCUAGCAGUACAAAACUAAGAUAAACUUUUCCACACUUUUUAAGUUGGAUGAUGAUGUCUUUACUUCUAGAAGAGACCACCAGUAAAAUCUCUAUCCCCACCAGCAAACCUCUAUGACAAGGCCUGUUUGAAUUGGUGGCCAACCAUUCAUCUAAAUCCUGUUCACUAGAAAUAAGAGUAAUAGAACACUUUAAGAGUUUAGAUCUGAGAUCUAAUACUAAUAGAAGCAUAAUUAUGUCAUGGGUUAUGACUGAUGCAUUGUAACCGAAAAUCUGUGUAGCAACUACUCUUUUGGUCCUUUCUUUCCCUUUCACAAGGGUUAAUAUGCUAAUGGAGCUCUAACAAGUAACAAGAGUAGCUAAAAUCUGCAAUUUAAACAGUUACUGGUUUCUUCUUCUGAAGCAACCCUUUUCUCAUUUUCUUAAACUCAAGAACAUCUAACAGAUAUACAUGAUUGUCGGGAUGCACCUGAAGCUGUCGAUUUGGAACGUUUUCACUUCUCAAGUGCUUAUUCUGAACUGCAUUCUCAACCAUGCUCAUUGACAUCGUUGCUUUCAGUAAAGCACUGUCAAUAACUUGAAAAGUGGAAAAGAAACAGAAAUCCAGUAGAUUGUCUAUUUUACAAAUAUGUAGAUGUAUAAUUUGAUUACAUAAGAAUGACACUAUUCUUUACCCUGUGGCAAAAAAGUCGACGUCAAUUAUACCAACAACAAUGAAAUAUCACCUGAUUAAGAAUGUGAUAAAAUAAUUUGGCUGGACAAUAAAUGGGGUUGCAUAUCAAACUACUGAAGAAUUUGAAGAAAUCAUCUCCGUAAGUUCUCCAUGUAAUUUGCCGUUAGUCACAAGGACCCCUCCCGACGGAAAGAUGAUUCUGCGCCCUAUUGUAUCAGCCGCGAAAUCCAGCUGGUUUCCGCUCCAGUCACUGACCUGUGAUUGGAUGAAAUUACUGUUCUGAUUCGUAAAUAUAUAUUGAAGGCAAAAAAUUGUCAUAUCAAAUCAAAAGACAGCGUAUUCCACAGGAACAUGGUUUGAAGUUACGUGCAACAUGAGGUACGAAGUUUUGGCUAUACAUGUAAAAGAUUAUAGCAGAAAUCUAUACAGAGGCUCAAAAUCAAGCUGGCCAAACAAUUAAAGCAAACAUUUCAAACUAAAUAUCAUUGGUAAAUUUAACAAGAAUAAGCUACAAAAAAGGAGUACAAAUUUAAAUAGUGGUGGUAAAAGACAUUCUAAACGGAGAGACGACAUACCUGCCCUCCUGCUUCAUUUACACAUAUAACUCCGACAGCAUGAUCCCAAACCUAAGCGACAAAGAACCAAACCAUCAGUACUCAUGAUAAUACUUGACCUACCCUGUAGUUGAUUGGUAGGAGGAGAUUGAGUACCUUAAUUACAGUUUGAGCCCUUGUUCUAAGAAUAAAAACAGAAGCCCUACCAGAGGCAACCAUUAGAUACUUGCACAAACUGCAAACGCCAUAAGAAAGAAGUUGUAUCAAGUUCAAAGAUGCAUUUUCUUAACCGACCUUUAUAGAAUAUUCGGGAAAAAAAUAGAUGACCAUUAGCAAGAGUCAAGCAAAAGACCGUUACAAACAAUCAGAGGGCAAGGUACAGACGCCCAACAGGCCAACACUAUGAAUAUAUGGUAAAUUAAUGAUUUAUAGCAAUAUGACAACUAUCAAUCUACCAGACAAAAAAGAAAAAUAAAAAGAAAAAAAACAAGAAAAAGAACCUCAAAAAAUACAACAUACCACAAAUACAAAGUGGUGUCUUGGGAGACAGUCCAAAGUUUCAGAAUUUGCAAUAAGUGGCUGGUUUCAAGACUUGAAUCUGCAAAAUAUUAUUGCAAGCCCAAGACUAGCUCAUAUAUAUGACAAUCUAACCUAAGACUAAUCAUAGGAGGUUAGGUGCCUACCAUUUGAGCACUACUUAGCAUAAAUAACAUCCAUAUUGUUCGAAAUUUUCUGUCCUUGCCUGUUGACGCAGGCUUCAGAUCCAAACUGAAUUGUUGUAUUUUGGCUUCUUUUCUCUUUCCCUCUAGUAAAUAACCACAACCCUAGAACGUUGCAUCAAACCUCAGCAGUAACACAGAAAGUCGAAGAUAUAGCAAACAAGCAUACAAAAACAUUGAUAACCAUGUAGGUGGCAGCAAGCAGAGAUAUAGAAGAAAGAAGUUGCUAUACAUCGGAAACUAAUAAUCUGUUUGCAUGCAAAUGACAACAAAAGUAGGAGCAACAUAAGAUUCAGGAAUAGAACAAACCUGCCACAACAUGUCGGCAUAAGAAGUACCACUUUCUCAUCUCUACACUCUGCAUCAUCAAUAGUCGAGCUAAACAGAGCAGAUAACGGCAUAAAUUCCCAACUUUGGCUAUCAGGAAUGCAGAACCGUGCCUCAUGAACUAAGGAGCUGUUAUCGACAAAGCAUCUUUGCCAAAUAUCUAGAGUUCCCCUAUAGUUACCAAUCACUGGUGAAAAUUUCUUUUUCCAAGUACCACAACCUGCAUGAGCAACCAUAAUGAUCCCACCUUCCGAGGCAACAAUCUUACUAUUUUUGUUGUUCUCCACAGAGAGGGGAUAGUUUUUCCAGUUUGGGCAACCCAUAACACCUAAUGCAAUCUCCCCUUUCACAAUGAGAGCCAAACCGACCUGAAACAAUUAGAACUUUAACCCAAUAGUAGGGAAUGAUAAAAUUAAGACACCCCCAUUAAAGUUAGAGCAGCCUUAUUUAAGACAUAAGUUGAAUACAUUUCGAUGACAUAUUCAUAUCAGUCUAAAAUAGAGAGAAAAUCCAAGUAGGAAACUUGAAAAAAGGAAGAGGAAGGCUAAAACUGAUAUGGCUGGAACUAACAAGAAAGAUGCAACCAUAAAAAAAAUGGAGAAAAGAUAGCUCAAAAUACAAUUAAGCUGUGAAAGAAAAGUGACAUAACACAUCGUAUGUAGUUCUUUAAGAGGACUUAUACAGCUGACCACAAUUAGCAUAGAAUUAUGGCCGCGUAACCAAGUUAAAUUGAUUUGACUACCUACAAGCCUAAGAUCAAUAGAGGAAAUGCAUAACUUGUUAUUUUGCCAGUUCAUCUUGUCUUCAUCGUAGAUAAUUGUCGUCAUGUCAAAUUCAAGUCACCUAGACACCUACAGAAUUUUCUUUUAUCCUAUUCAGAUUCCCUGUCUAGAAUCAGAGGCCUUUCCUGCAUCUUAACAUCAGUAAAAUUCAUGGCAGUGAUGCCCAUGCAAUCCAAUAGGUAAUGUCAUGGAAUUUCUCUUUUCUUAUAAAUGCAUCACCAGCAAACAGCCUCUACUUAGUAAGCAUCAAAACUUGGUCAUGAAAGAGAAAAGAAAGGCAUACCACAUACAGGGCAUCGCUACCUCUUAAGAACCCACGAGUGCCAUCAAUGGGAUCGAGCACCUGUAAUUAAGUAUAUGAAGUUUAGUCGAAUAGCACCAAAUUUUUAGAUAACUCAUCUUUCUAAAAAUUCCACCAGUACAUAAACCUACAUAGCGACUGUGUGUGUACACUUUAGGGAUCAUUAGUCUUACAAUAAAUUCACAUUUUCACUAAAAAAAGACAAAUUGUGUUAUCAAUGGUAGUAUCACAAUCUUACCCAGUAGGUCGCAGGUUCGGCAUCAAAUGAAUUUGCAUCCUUCCCUCCUCUAUCUAUAGCUUCCAACACAUCGUCAGAGGUCAAAGGAUCACUUCCACUGGCUUUAUCACCAACUGCAUUCAAUAUUGCUUCAACAAGGAAAUCACCAUCGUAGCCCUCACCAUCGAUAGGUUCUACAGAAUUUGACCUCAGGAACCCUGAGUCCUCCUCGGCCACUAACGGUAUCGAAGGAAAUAACCGGUUCAGCUCUGCCUUACAAUACAGUGCAAUACAUCAACAACCCAUUAAAAUGAUUUCAAAAGUGAUAAAGAAAGUGCAAGUUCAAGUGAAAUAAAGAGAGAAGAAAAACAACCUAAGCUGAUCAGAGCCUGCACACCAAAAUCAGCGAUGGUGACAGGCGUCCUAUCAUCCUUCUCAAGAAUCCGGCGAUCCCCGGACAGCAACGAUUUCUUCACCUGAGCAAUCAGAAAAAUUACCACGUCGAUAGAAAAAGGUACCAUUUUUUAUCCCAAAACAUCAUUUUUUAUCGCAUUGUAGUACAAAUUAGUGUGUGUGCAUUUGAAGAAAUUUCACACCAAUAUCGUCUUUAUAGCAUUGCAGUGAUAAUUGGUGUUCAUUUGAAGGAUCACUGCACCAAUUCGAAAAAGGAAUCAUUUUUUAGUCCCAAAAUUUCGCCUUUUUCGCAUUGUAGCAAUAAUUGGCGGAUGUCUUGGAUUGAAAUGGAAGAACGAGAGGGGGAGGGGAUUCUUACAUCGAUGCAGAGGCGGCAGGCUCGUUGGACGAUGUCGACGGCCGCUUCGAGCUCGCGGUGGAACCUCGCCUUCUCCGGGGGGAAGGGGAGGCUCGACCUGGAUGGGGAAGGGGAGGAAUCGCUCAGAUGGGGGAUUCAAUUCGGAAACCCUAGAGACUGUGGGAGAGGAGAUUGAGAUUAGGGCGUGGGUGGAGGGGAUUGGGAGCAACCUGAUGAGGGCGAAGGGAGGGGAGAGUGCGCGGGGAUUUGAGGAGCGAAAGGGAGCAUCAGAUGGGCGAAUGGCGAGGCGAAGUGAAGGGUUGAGAACAGCCAUGCCGAGCGAGAGAGAGUCACUCAUAGUUCUUGAAGUUAAGUUCUCAGGUCUGUCAGUUACUUUUUUUUUUUUGUUUAAUCCAAAUGAGUAAUCUGCAUCUAGUGUAGUGAGAGUGGGACAGUUAAUUGCACUCUUGAUUGCAAAUUUUAACUAAGUUCUCACUUUGAUCCCCAACACUUUUUAUCCUUUUUUUUUGGUUUACAUUUAGAUCUCUAAUAUUUAUCAAUUAUUUUUAUUUUCAUUUUUUUGUGUUGUCAAAACUACAUGGAGAAGAUGGAUGGUUCAAAUCAUUUGCAUAUGCUUUUCAAAAAUAGGAGGUUGGAUUUGACUUUUGAAAUAUUAUAUGUAUCAUAGAAGAUAAAAAUUUUGAGAAAAUCCUUUUAAGUUACAGCCCACAAACAACUUAAAAAAAAUAAAAAAUAAAAAAUUCAGAAAGCUAACCAUCAAGCGCUACUUACCAACACCCUAGUGUUUGUUGCAUCGUGUCGAACAUUAAAUGCUCGUAGAAUGAUUUGCUAGUGCAUUUUCAAUCAUUUUGUAAUGUACAAUACUUCUUAGCACCUACACUCGAUUUUAGAAAGAAAAUUUAUUAAGAUGUUUUUACUUAGUAUUAUAAACUCUAUACUCUAAUGCCGAUUCUAGAUCCACACUUUUAAAUUAAAUCUAACUGUUGUGAAAUUGACACAACAAGCAUGUGAAAAAAGAUUUAUUUGGAACAACUAACAAUAUAAGAGUUUUUCUUACAAAAAGAAAAAUAAUAUAAAAGCCAUAAGAGUAAAAUUGGAAGGAUUGGGAGCUAAAUUUGGCUUGUGUUUUAUUUGAGGAAACUAAAUUUGGCUACGUAAUAGUGCAAUCGACCGGUCAAAUGAACGUAGAGUGGAAAGUCGACAAAUCUUCCUGGAUUCGCCGCCGACUUUCACGCCCGCAACGAAAAAGAAAGAGGGCAGGGGAGGUAUUCCUAUUUCCUCAUCGCUGCACAGUGCAAUCACCGCCUUUCAAAAAGCCGUUUUUCUCGUGUAAUUAUCGCCUGCACCCGGUGUAAAUACAUCUCACACACGGACACACGAUUUCCUAGAUCAUACAAACCUCAAAAUUAAAAUCUAAUUUAUUUGACACGUGCCAUAAUAUUCAAAGGAUCUAAAUAUAUAAGAUUAUAAAUUUUGACCAUCAUUUUAUUAUACUUUUAAAAUUUGUAAUUUUUAAUACAUAGGUCCUUCUCGCUAUUUUAGAUCAUACCCCGUCGCAUUUAAUUUUGAUUUUAAUAUACUAAUCAUUAAAAAUGAUGUUCGGUGCAUGAAGCAUAUGAAUACGCCGGGCGGAGGGAAUUUUAUUUUCUCGAUUCCCGCCUCUUCGCUUUCCGACACGUUCCUCGUCUUCGGGCCCCACUUCCAGAAUCUUCCAUCCCGUCAUCGGCACCGAACACGGCACACUUAUUCGACCCAUAAUAACUUGCCACGCGGGAACUUACGUUGGGCCCAACGGCUCUCUUCCUGCGUUAUUAAUCCCGUGACGUGUAGCGAAUCCCGGUGAAUGGAAGCGGAGACCUGGAAUCUACAAGCUGAAAUUCCUAUUUUGCCCCUACCAACUUCCACAAAUAUCCGAGCGUGCUCCCUUUGAAAACGAAAUAUCCCUUCCCCACUGAGACCCUUGUUCGGAAAAGGUCGAAUCAUUUUUCCUCUGCUUCUUCUCCAGGGUUUUCUCGUUGUUUCCACUCGCGAGGAUUAGUUUCGUUUCAAAUCUCUCUGAUUAAGGUUCGUAUCCCAAAAUUUUGAUCUAUUUCGCUCUAGAAUUUAGAGCUUUUAGGGCUCUUGUUGCUGAACUUCUGAAGCUGGAUUUUUUUUUUCAUUUUUUUUACGUCUUUUUUUUUUUUUAAUCUUGGACAAGUAUCCUUUGUUCUCGAUAUUUUCGUGACUAACUUGGUGAAUUUGUUCCUCUGCUUGCGCUAAUUUUAAGUGCUUUUUUUUCAAUUUUGUUUAAUUGUGGUUUGGUUGUAAGAAAAUCAUAUAAUUUCUGAAAUUUCCAUGCUUUGAUGUAACAGUUUUAGAGCAAAGUUUGAACUAUUCCAGAUAUGCUUGAUACAGCUGUUCAAAUUUGUAUUUGUGGAGGAGCCCUCUUAAUUUCUGUUUUUGUUGGUUAGCAUGUUAAUUAAGAAAGGAAUAUCCAGUGCAUGUGUAAAUUAAGCUCUGUGAUUUGGGGAAAAUGUUGAAUUCGAAGUUUCAUGAAUUCCUCAUAUAUGUAUAAAAUGUCGGUAUUGUAGUAUCUCUGAUCAUUUGAAAUUGGAAUAACUAUUAUUAAUCAUUCUUUUUCCUGCUAUUUUGGUCAACCUGAGAUUUUCACGAGAUGCCGGGGCCCACACCAUCAUAUAGUUGCAGUCCUUUUCUUUCUUUCCCCCCUUGGUUGCUUAAUGUAGCAUGUGUUAGAUUUAUUUGGCAAGUUAUUUGCUUCUUUUAUUAAUUUACGGUUCCAUGGCAGGAUUUGGAUUCCAAAGGUUUCUUCUUUUUUACUUUCUGGUUUUUUUGUGUUGAAUUGGUUCAGAUCCUUUGAAUUUCCCUGCUUAUGUUUCUAUAGGUAUUCUCAGAGUUUGCUUGAGUAAAACUAUCUAGUUCCGAUGUAUUUGAAGAAAAAAGAACGUCUUUUAGUGCAUCUCUGAAUUAUUUUUUAUACAAACUGGUGGUGAAAUGAGUGUAGCAUAUAAUGACUGCAGUUUAUGAGUAGAUGGAGUAUGUGCUUAAAGGUAAUAUUGGCAUUUGAUGAUGCAAAUGAUAGCUUCUGUUCAAGUUGAGUUGAUUCUUUUAAAUGUAUACUAAAUUGCAGAUCGCAACCUAGGAUGGAAAACUUGAAUUCUGAUUGUUUGCUGAAAGAAUUCUACAUUCCCAGUUAUAUAAUGGUUCCAGAUUCACCAGUAGAGCACCUUUCUUACGUGCCUAGUUAUCCAGUAAUAGUUUUUAUUAACACAAAAAGUGGUGGGCAACUUGGAGGCCAGCUGCUUGUGACGUGCCAUGAACUUCUCAACACAGUGCAGGUAGAAUAUAAAUUGUUAACUAAAAUGAAGUGUGACGAAUGAUACAUAUUUUUCUUUUGUUUUUGGCGAUGUAUGUUCUUACUAUUAUCGGAUCUCAAGAUAUGGAUAUAUCUCCAUUUUACACAAAUAUGCAUUUAGAAUGAACAAGAAGCUUUCGAAUGUCUGCCUGCCAGGUUUUCGAUGUGGGAAAGGAUGCUCCAGACAAGGUGUUGCAUAAUCUUUAUAGAAACUUUAAAAGGCUUAAAUCUAAUGGAGAUAAUCUUGCUGCUGAAAUUGAGGGACGGUUAAGGCUAAUAGUGAGUUGAGUCAGGAAUAUUCAUGCACUUUGUCUUUACUUUUCUUCUUUAUGUUUCAUUCUUGUGUUCUUGUAUUAUAUAAACCUAUCAUACAUUUCAGCCUAAUUUCUUUUCCUAUUUCACAUGAAACUAUAUGAUUAGGUCGCUGGUGGUGACGGUACAAUAAGUUGGCUGCUUGGAGUGAUUUCUGAUCUGAACUUAGCUCAACCACCUCCUGUUGCUACAAUGCCUUUAGGAACUGGGAACAACAUUCCAUAUUCCUUUGGCUGGGUAGGUCAAGAGAGUAAAUUUGCCUUUGAUACUUGUCUUUCAUUGUCUUUCUCCCACUCUGAUGCAGCUUGCUGGUUGACCUUAUAUCAGAUGUCAGAUAUUAUUAAUUAUUAUGCCAUCCAAAUACUUCCGACCAAAUUUAAAAUUGUUACUAAUUCAGAUACAAAGAGCCUACAAUUUAUGUUUCAUAUGCUUUCUUUGAAUGUCCUUAUUGUUUCAAUAAAAUGAAUUAACCGCUGAAGCAGUUCAGAUGAUAUAACAUUCCAGCAUAUUGUUAUAGUGGAUAUGAAGAUAUUACUUUAUCUCUUCCUAUAUGAGUCUGAUGAUUGGUUAAUUUGCAUAUGCAGGGGAAGAAAAACCCUGGAAUAGACCGUGAAUCAGUCAAGUCAUUUCUGGACAGAGUGAUGAAAGCGAGAGAAAUGAAGGUCGAUAGGUUGGUCUUCUAAUUACCACUCUGCUCAAAUGGUUUAGCUUAGUCUAAAAAUCUUUGUUUGUCUUAUGUAACAUUCCUUUAGUAUUAUUUCAGCUGGCACAUUAUCAUGAGAAUGCAUGCUCCUGAAGAUUGUUCUUGUGAUCCGAUUGCUCUUCCAGAAUUGCCCCAUUCUCUUCAUAUGUUUCGUCGUGUAUCGCCUACCAAUGUGCUAAACAUGGUGAGAUAUUCUUCUUUGUUAAUAUGAGAAUUAUGUAGUUAUGUAAGAAAAGGUAAGUUUUUGCUCUUUCUGUCAUGGCAAAAGUUUAUCUUUUAAAGUUGCCGAAAGGUUUCUAAAUAUCUAUUCUUCCUUAGCUCAUAUUUUCAACUUUGGAGCUUUGAAUUUUUCGCUUUUUUUUUCCAGCAGCCCAAUGCUCUCCUCUUCUUUUGUCUUAGCGCAUCUUGUUUGUUUGUCAAUGUAAUAUUUUCCAACUUUUAUAAAUCAAUUCGAUUUCAUAAGGUAAAGAUGGAAGAUGCCCUUUCUAUUACUUGUUAUGCCUGUUAAUCCAUCAGUAGAGACUACAAUUGGUAGACCUGAUAGUAAAAAGAAUCUGAUUGUAUCAGGUCAUUGUUUGCUUUGCAAAUAUAUUUCUUUCUGGAUUUGAGGCCAGUUCUGUGCAAUAGUUGUUGCUUUCAUCAAAUCGACGAGCUGAGUGUUUUAAUUUCUUGUGGAAGUAGGGACAACUGUUCUGUCGCUUCUUGAACUUUCAAACUUUAGAAGUACACCCCGUAAUCUCUUAAUUUUAAGAUGUACCAUCUUAGCUGCAUUAAAUAAUGCAAAUGACCCGUCAAUGCGAACAACUUUUGCAGAAAGAAUCCAAGAGUCAUCAAUCCUUUCAGAUUCUCCAUUCAAGAGUCAUAAAGUUCUGCUUCAAGCUAUUCUGUAACUCAUGGUUAAGCUCCGAAGUAUACAUGUAAUCAAAAUCCUUGAACAUUGUCUACUUAGCGGAGAUGUAUCUUUUUGGUUAAAAAUGCAAAAGACAUGGCUAAAGUAAGACUAUCUGCAGUAGCGUUAUAUGCUGCAUAUUCUUUGCAACCGCCAGAACUUCUAUUUCAGAGUACAUUUUAGCCUGCAUGAUCAUUUUAGCUUUCAUAAAAGAUAAUUCUGUCUGUUAGUUGCACUCUUGAACUAUUUUCUCGGUAGGAAUUGUAAGUAUCUGUAUCGUUUGCUUAAAUCCGAUCAUCCAUCUUGAUCUGUCUCCAGGAGGAUUAUCACACAUUUCGUGGGGGAUUUUGGAACUACUUCAGUAUGGGUAAGAACAUUUCCUUGGCCAUCAUAUUGUGCUUCACACUAUGAUGCUUUGCUAGAUUACCAACUUGUAAUACAGACCUCAAUAUAAUAUUACAAGAUACACACCUUCAUACCCUCAUGUCUCUUGUCCAUUAACAGUUACACCCUUAGCUACUUAUAUCUGAUAACUGAGAAAUAUUUGUGGUGGUCAGCCCCAUAGUUCCACUAAAGUGAGCUCAUAUUGUAAGUUUUUGUUUGCGGGGUCAGCUUACCAUGCUUGGUCUUGCGUAUAACUGAUGCCACAAAAGACAGAUAUGAAUAUUGCUUAGAGAGGGAGUUUGAAUAUACCCAUUUUCUUGAAUAGCUUAGUUGCAAGCAAUCAGCAUAACCAACUCAUUAGAGCUUUUAUGAUCUAGAGAGGUAAACUGGAUUUUAUUAUAUGAACCACAAUCUUUCCCUUGGUUUUUUAUGAUCUGCCUUCAUGAAGUGAUUCAGAAAAGUCCCUCCAGAAGUACAUCCAAUAGUAAGUACCAUUUAUCUGUAUCGAAAAUCUCGAGGAUUUACAUUAUAAAUUGUCCUAAGUCCUAACAUCCAUUUUAGUUUUUGGUUUCAGUUGGAACAACAGCAAAACAUAAGCUAAACCAAUAGAUUGUUUUCGCAUUUGAAAGGCAGUCUUUCUUAUACGGAAAAGAAAAAUGUGAACAGCAAAUGACUUCAUUCUCUCCUAAUGUAGGAAUGGAUGCCCAAGUAUCAUAUGCAUUUCACUCUGAAAGGAAGUUGCAUCCUGAAAAAUUCAAGAAUCAGCUAGGUAAUCAGGUAAUGCUUUCAUGAUGCUUGUUUCUGUGCAGACCUUGUCCAGAUUCUUCUUCAUUUGAUAUUCUGUUUAUAAUUUUCAUAUAUGAUUAUUAUGCAAGUCAUGAACUUAAUACAAACUGGCAUAAUUAAACAUCACUAUAUAUCAUCAUAUUUUAUUGUCCAUUUAGUUUGCUAUUCCUUAUUCUCUCUGUCAUUUUUUGAAUCACAUUGUAUGAAUUCUUGGACAACUAUCCCUUGUUGAUGGGUUUCUUAUACUCUAGCGCAGAGAACAUAUCUUAAGCUAGGUUGUACACAAGGAUGGUUCUGUACCUCUUUAUGUCAUCCUACUUCUCGGUAAUAUUAUUGUUCACUGCUACACUUAAUCCUUUGUUUCAUCCGAUUUUGUAGGUAGAACUAUUAUUUCUAGAAAGGCUAUAGUUUCUACGGAUUGAACUGGAGUUAUAUUAAUGCAUGAUCAUGAUAACCAGCUUAUUAUUAAACACAUGAUGCCCUUUAAUAGUACAGUCAGAGAGAAUCAACCACAGCUAGUUGGAAAAGGUUGAUCAGUUAUUGUUGAUCUCCAAUUAAGAUGGUUUGUUAUAUCUUUUGCAGAAGGAUUCAACCUAUAGAUGUGGGAGAAAUUCUUCUGUUACUGAUAACCAAUGAGAGUGUAGUUAAGUUUUAAUGGUUAGCAUUUAGCACUCCUUAAGAAAUGCUAAAAUUCACUCGACGAUUCGUUAUGAAAUGCCUGUCUUGGUUAAUAAAUCCAAGGGAACUUUUCUCCCCUUGAAAAGUUGACUGUUGGAAUGAUUGUAUAUGAAUACAUGCAGGAAUAUAGCUCAGCUUGCAGAGGUCAAGAUCAUGAAGAAACAUGGUCAGUGGGAAAAAUUGCACAUUCCUCGCAGGUAAGCUUAGUUCCUUGUUCUGGUUUUUAGAAGUUUGACAUGGCAAUUCUUGUCGAAAUACUCUGCUUGGGGACGCUUUUAGUCACCGCAAAGUUGACUCCUAAAGGACCACCUUUUCCUGAGCUGUAUUCCAAGGAUUUUACACACCUCUGAAAAAGGGCCACUGUGGUCCUAAAGUUGAAAUGUGAAAUAUUUUGCUUUCUUACACACACGCCAGAAAAUAAAAAAAUUAAAAAAAGAGGGUCAUACAGACAAUGCUUCUGCUUGUAUUCAGUAGAGUUAUGCGAGGGGGGGGGGGUGGUGGGGGUGUCUUAUGUUGAUUAUUAUUGUUUGUUCCUUUCUGCUGUUAGUUCCAUCAUUUUACUGCUAAUUAAUGUUGGUCCAAUUUGCAGUAUUAGGUCGAUAGUCUGCCUUAAUUUACCUAGUUUCUCUGGUGGAUUGAAUCCUUGGGGAACCCCAAGUAGGAGGAAAAAGCAAGAUGUAAGUUGAAGUCUUCCGAUAGAUAUCGAACAUCUUAACUAAUAAUGGGGGCAUUAAAUGUGCUUACUCUCUUAUCCUAUUUUUCUUUUUCUCUUCAAUGAUUAAUCUUGUAGCUUCUAAAUUGUGCCGAUCAUGCAGAGGGACUUGACUCCACCAUUUGUGGAUGAUGGCCUUCUCGAGAUUGUGGGUUUUAAGGAUGCUUGGCAUGGGCUUGUUUUGCUCACCCCUGGGGGACACGGAACUCGUCUUGCGCAGGUAAAUGCUGAUUUUUAAGUACAUUUGUUUCAAACCUAUUGUUUUUUUUUCCUUGUUUCUGCAUCUCAAUGUGGUUCCCACAGUCUCUUGAAGUAAGUGACAGUUAUGCUGUUAUGAAACAAAUUAUUCACAUUUAUACCUAGCAGAAGUUGUAUUCUCGUGCACGCCUUUCGAAAACUCAUCUUCUUAUACGAAUGCCGCUGCCAAAACACUUAGUAUUUCAGGACUGAUUUCUCCACAAGAAUUGUACGCUGCCUUUGUUAAUAUGAUUCAUGUGAAAAUUUGGAUUCCGUAUUUGUGCAAAUGUGCAUAUUUAUAUGUUGAAUAGAUGAUUUUGUAAAGAAUAAUAUGUAAAAGCCCCUCUCCCUAUACUAUAUACAGGCACACCGCAUUAAAUUUGAGUUUCACAAGGGCGCAGCAGACCACGCAUACAUGCGAAUGGAUGGGGAGCCAUGGAAGCAGCCUCUUCCAAGGGACGAUGGCAAAGUCAUAGUGGAGAUUUCCCACCGCGGCCAAAUCAAGAUGCUCGCAGCCCCCGACAACUGCAUCGCCAAGAGCAUCCAGGACACCACCUCUUCUUCAUCGGUUGCCAGCCAUCAUACUGAAGAAUCUUGCAUUGAGGGAUCAGAAGACAGCGAAUCAGAGGAGAGGAAGAAAUUCGGCGCGGCAGUUUCAUUCAGGUCUUCUGAUGAUAGGGGCAUUAUAUUGUAAGAUUAAAAAAAAAGUGUUACUUUGUGUUUAAUCUCCAAUAGUUUGCAGUUUGAAGCGUCCAGUCUGUAUGGAAGUUGCUGCAAAUUUUUUGUUUUGUUUUGUUUUUAUUUAUUAUUUUUUUGUCUUUUUGACAAGAAAGUCUGUAGACGGCUAAAGGAAGCAGUAGAAACAGGUGUUAAUUUGCUGAAAUAGUUCCAACUGAAGUACGGCUCAGAAUUGGAACUUCAAAUUGGGGAUUCUGCCACUGGUGUUCUGGAACUCAUGUUAGCUUAUCACUCCAGUGAGAAUAAUCUUUACUAGUUCCUGUUUACAAAGCACUAGUUCUAUACUGAGAGGACUAGCUUUUUGUCUCUCCAUAUCUCGGUUCUUGAUAUGAUUUGGAACAAAUUAAAGCAUCUAUGCCGAACAUAUUCAUGAACGAAAACGCACGGUAUAUUCAUGGCAUGCUACUGUGCUAGGCAACCCCCGUGAAUGAUAAUGAGAUGGGAGGAUAUCAUAUUAGAUGGUUACGGUUCGCACGUGUAAUGCAAAUGGUUACUGAUUCAAUCGACGUUGCAGGUCUGAUGCAAAUGGUUACUUAAUUUUUUUAUUUUUUUCUUUUGGAGCUCUACAGCAUCAAAGCAUAACUGUUUAUUUUUUUUCUUUUGGAGCUCUACAGCAUCAAAGCAUAACUGUUUUAGGGAAAGAUCUUUCACAAACUAUACAGGUAAUCACUUCAAAUUCAUGCAAAAAUAUUAGACAAUCCAGAGUUUUUGCGACUUCAUCGAUCCCUUAUAUAUGCAACAUAGGAACACCAAUGAAAUUGGGUCCUACAACUCAAUUAGAGCAAACAACCAGCAGCAGAACAUACCAAGUAAUUAUCAGAUAUUAGAAAAAAAAAAACAAAAGAAAAAAACAUGAAUACAAUAUAUAUUAAUUUAUUGAUAAUAAAGAGUCAAGCACACAACAUUAUUUUCUGCAGUACAUAUUCAAGUCCUAAAUACAUACGCAGGUAGACAAGCGCACAGCUUCAGUUAAAAAAAUUAGAGACAUGCAGCACAAGGGCCGUUGCUUAUUUCGCAAUCUCGGCAAACAUCGAUACAAGUAUGCACACAUGACUGAGCACACUUGCACACGCACACACACACAAAGACACACUUGCACACGCAUACACACAAAUACAUAAUUAAUAUUUAGAGGAAGAGAGAGAGAGAGGGUAUAUAAGACAGUUUCACCUCACCGUGCUUCCAUUUUGGUAUGGAAUUGUUGGAGAAGAGUGGCUGUUCAUAACCAUCGAGCUUUCAUAGGCUUCUUGUAGCAUGGACAAUGCUUGUGAUCGAAAUGAAAUGAGCGAUAGUUUGCUUCUGGCUCAUCCCACAUUAGAUUACCCCACCAAUCCUUCUCGCAGCUAAUCUUCACAACUCUCUUUGACCGACCGUCCGAUCGGUCAAAAAGAGAGAGUUUUCUUAGACUGGAACAUCCCCUAAUCACGAUGUCUUGUAGCGAUGGAGCACAAAUAUUAGGCUUGUAUAUGUGCUGUAGCUUCGGAAGCUCCUCUAGAUGAAGGGACCUCAGUUUCGGGAGUAGCUUCGGAAUCGCUCCCCUUUUCUCUUCAUCAUCAUCAUAGUCAGUGAAAAUGGCCGUCAAAUCGCCACAAUAGCGGAUGUCAAUGGUUUCCAAGUUGCAUGGCUCCGAGAGUGAGGGAAGUACAUACUUUAGCCUCGUGCAAAACUCCAAAUAAAUAUGCUUCAACUGUGAAUAGCUUUCCGGCACAAUCAUUAUUCCCCUUUUGCAUAUAGCGUCGAGCCUCGGAAGAUGGCUGAGCCACAUGCUCUCCAAUUUCACCAGAACAUUACGACCACCCUUAUCCCAAUCGGCAAAGACAACUUCCAUGUUAGGGCAGUUCUCAAUGCGGAAGCAUUUGAGACUGCUCAUUGAAACAUUCGCGGCUAUGGCCGAUGUGUUUUCAUGCACGAAUAAAGAUUCUGCAAAUCUCAUAAACCGUCUAAAUGAUUCUUCUUCUGUUAGGGAACGGUGGUUACCUCCAUCGACCUCUAUGUGAUUAUUCAGGGGCAUUGCUGGUGGUGAUGGGCGAUGCGGACGGCGAUGAUCUUUCAUGGCGGCCAAAGCGUCGGCGUAACGGGGUGUCGACAGGUUUGAUACAAUGAGCGGGCUCGAUUUAGUAGUUGAAGUUGUUCGAGCACCCGGUUUGGUCGUAGUAUACGUAAUAUCACCUCUCUUAAUAGUGGAAGAACACUUGACAUGAAUAUGGAUGCGAGCUCUUGUUCUGUCUAAAUGAGCAGGAAAGGCCCGUUUGAGUGACCGGAAGAGCCUAACAUCCCUCACGACUACAUGAGCUUGGAAAACUCUUCCAUCAGCAUCAUGACUAAUACCCGUAGUAGUGUCAUAAUGCUCUGUUUGAUUUUUAAAGGAUUCGAGGCACCUGUCAACACCGCAAGUAUUGUUAUAGUUAUCCAAGUAUAGCUCAUCCAAGCUUGGUAGUUCUCCUUCUUUCCCAAGGACUACUCUACAGAGCUGCUCACAUCCCAGGAGGUACAAUUGCUUCAGCCGUGGGAGAUUGUAGGGCCGGCUUUCCUCAUCAAAGAACUUCAAAACUUUGACUGCCGUGCACGAAAGGUUGAGCUCCUCGAGCUUCAAUAAUUCUUGUAGGUCUACGUUCUCCAACUUGCGGCAUCCUUGCAGGCAGAGCUUGGUGAUCAGCACAGAUUCGCUGAGGCGGAAGGUCUUGAGGUUGGGCAAAGAAGUUGGGUCCGCCGGCUCUACCUCUUGUAGUGAUGUGCAGCUUCGUAGGCUGACCGUCUUGAUUGUGGCAGGGAGAUGAUUAAGGUUUAGAGAUUCUAACCAGUCGCAAUUAUCAAGAAUGAGCUUUUUGAGGUUGAUUGCCAUUGACAGGAACUUAUGCAUGUGCUGAAAAAAGCCUUCGUCGAUCCCCUCCAAUUGCACUACUGGACAGUUAAUUCGGAGUUUGCGAAGGCUUCCUAGCCCUUUUCGAGCUCCCAGGAGUGGGAAGGCAAAUGUUUUAUCUGUUAGAUCGAACUUGUGGAGGUUGGGCAUGCUGUCAAAGGCUUUGCCCGCUGAAAGGAACUUAUCGGCGUCCGAAUUAUAUAAAAUCAAGACCCAUAAGCUAUCAAAAAGUAUUGGUCCUCCUAGCCCUUCUUGUGCUAACAAGCGAGGGGAGGCGUUAACUGAAGAUCGCUCCCCAGUCACUUGGCAUCGCUCCAUCUUAAGCAUCCUCAGGUUGCGAAGAUGAACGAAAGAGGAAUCUAUAGGGCCCACUAUACAGCCGGAAAGGUCUAGCACUCGAACGUUGCUGAAACGCUCGAAAAAUCUAUCCGGCAGAGCUCGGUGCGUCCACUCAAAAUUCCAGAAGAUGGAGGAAAUGUUGCCAUACACUGAAGUCCCACGUUCUACAUCUUGUCCACAAAUAUUAUCAAGGAAAUCGAGUAGUUCAGCUGGAUCAUCCGGAGAAAUCUGUACCGCCAUCCAGCGGUAACUCUCCGAUUGUAUCGCAUCUCGGUGGUGUUCGUAAUAAAUGUCCCGGCGGAUUACUAAAGUUUUAGGAGGCAGCAACUCAGGAGGACUGGACGACAUUAAUCCUCCGGAAGUGACAAUUUCUUUCCACAAUUUUUGUUCUUCCUCUCCUGCUGGUGAUACCCACCGAGCCACUGCCUUCCCGAUCUCCCAGCAGGCCGCGUGAUCCCCUUCCCCUUCCCCUUCCCCUUGUAAAAUUGGCUCGCACACUAAAUAAUUAACAGCAUGCCGUCGUGGUUGCGGUAGCGGUAGCUCUCCGGUAUACGUAUCCAGGAGGAAUAAAUACAAGAGGCACCUGUGGACUGUUGACGGGGUGGCUUGCAAUUGCAAUUGCAACCUCCCAGUACGGCCGCUGCUGCUCUCGUUGAUGUAACGGGCAAUUUCGACAGCCUCAGCAUACACGCACUCAAGUGCAGCAUUAAUUUGCCGUACAAAGACGAUAGCAUUCGCCCUUUCCAACAUGACGCGCGCUUGGCGGCCGAAUUCCUCCGCAGCCUUAAAUCCCCUCCCAAACGUCCACGGCACCUUGUGGGGGGCCCAUCUGGCGAUAGGAAUCUCCAAAUCAUUGAAGUCGAUAAAUUGAUUCGCGUAAACGCUGCCGAGGAGGAGCAGCACGCGACGAUCCUUCACAGCGAGGCGGAUCUCCUCCGCGACUUCCGGCAUCAUGCCUCUUGAGCCGGCCGGCACCCCACUGAAGUCGUCCUCCUCGUCCGCCUCGUCAAGCUUCGCCAUUACCGCGGGCUCUAGAUUGAUCAGCUGCUCCGCGACCGCCCUCUGCGCCUCCCUGGGGCUCCCAUAUAUUGUGAACCGCACCAGCUUGAUCACCGUGUCGAACCGGAUCAGCUCCUUCUUCUCGACCGCUUCCGCCGCCCGUCGGAGAACGGCCGACGCCCCAACUCCCUCCCAUGCAUAGACGUAGAUGUCCCAUACGCGCUCGUCGCGCAAGCACUCAACCACCUUACUCUCUAACUCCUCGUACGUAUAUGCCUCGAUCUCCUUCCAAGACAACAUAUCUCUUAACUAUUAUUAUAUCUAACUAGCUAGCCGUAGGUUUCGAUCAUCAAACCGAUCCAUCGAGUUUCAUUAACUAGCUAGCUUGAUAGUACGUACGUUCUCUUUCUCUAAUUAAUUCUCGAUCCCCGCGCGCGCGCGCCUAGCUAGCUCCAGAUGGAAAUUAAUGGACGCACACGCUCCGCCUUGCUCUCCAUCUGCAGGCAAGCUGAUCUACCUGUUAAAUUAUUUUUAUCAAAUCACUCGAUCAUUUUCACUUUUUUAAAUUAAAUUUCUUUCGUCAAUAUAUAUAUAUAUAUAUAUAUAUAUAUAUAUAUAUAUANAUAUAUAUAUAUAUAUAUAUAUAUAUAUAUAUAUAUAUAUAUAUAUAUAUAUAUAUAUAUAUAUAUAUAUAUCUUAAAAAUUAAUCAGCCAAGAAUUGCCGUGUAGCAAUUAAGGGUGGGUUGGUGCGCUAGAGGGAAAGAAAAAAAAAAAAAAAAAACACUACAUAUUUAGUAUUGAAGUGACAAAUUCUAGCUAGGCAGACAAAAUCAUCAAAGAACCGCUCGCGCUUUAGUCCCUAUUUUAAUUACUCUCUGCGAUAAAAAUUUCAUCAAUUACUUAACUAUAUAUUUUUUUUUACUAUUAUUUUAAAUAAAUCCAACUAUUUACGUUCUGAUAUAAAAUUUUAUAAAAAUAAAUUUGUGUUUGAAUAAAUAAUACAAUAGAGUCGUAUAUAUAAAUUGAACAAAUAUUUUCAAUAAACUAUCAAUUUUGAUAGUAUUAGCAAAAUAAAAGUUUUUCUACAUCUACUUUCUUUUUUCUAAUUGCAAACUAAAUAGAUAAUGAGAUUUGGAAAACUGUGAUAUAUCAUCUUAUUUUAGCAAAGUCCAUUGCCUAAUUUGUCUAUUUUUUAAAUUUUCUGCUCUAUUUUAAAAUAUGACAAAAUAUAUUAUAGGAGAAUAAUUAAUUAACAUAAUUUUUUUUGAGAGAUAAUUAACAUAAUUUUUAAUUCAAGAAGGUACGUAAUUGCGACAUGUCUAAAGUGCAUGAAAACAUUUUAUAAUUUGGUCCAAAUUCUAUUAUGUACAGUACAGUAGCAAUCGAACACAACAUUGGUUUCUCGCAAGAGUAUUAUGGUUACCCUCCAUCCUACUUUACUUAUUUCAACUAUAUGUUAAUUUACCACUAACUAGAUUGCUUAAUUAAUCAUUUGGUUUUUGGGAAGGGACCAAAUGGCUGAGGGUUUCUACACUUUAUCCUCUUAAUAUAGAAUUUGCAUCGGUGUCUUACUUGUUAAUCAUCGGUAUCUUACUUGUUAAAUAUUUUCCUUUCUCUUUAACUAUUUUGUUGUUAUAUUUUUUUUGCCUUUUGUUUUAUUUUAUUUUCCUUAUUUCUUUUGGGUAUCAGGAAGGUGUAAUUUCUUUCAUGCUAGUUAAAUUUUCGCGCACUACUGUGGAUAUAAAAUAUUUUACUAACAGAAUUUUAUAAAUAUAUAUUUUUAUUUAAUUAAUAAAUAAAAAUUAGUUUAAUAAUUAAACUAAUUUAAUUAAAAAUAGUUUAUAUUAGUAAACGUGUGAAAUAAGUUUUUGUAAGAGUAACUAAUUAAUAAUAAUAUAUGUAUAAGUAAAAGGCUACUAAUAUGAGUAUUGAAUGAUUAAAAUUAUUAAAACACAAUAUGAUAUAUAUUAAUAAUAUUUAAUUAAGCAAGUUUAUCACAAUAGUUAUAAAAAAAAUUAUGUAAGAACUCAUUAUUAAUUAAAUAAUUUUAUAAAAUUAUAAAAAAAAAAUAUUUAUUUAAAGAAACAUAAAUAAACUUGGCUUAAAAAUUGGAAAAAGAUAGAGUGUAAGAGAAUUAUAAGAACUUUUAGUAAUUAAAAUUAAUGUUAUAUUAAUGACUAAAAUUAUUUUAUAUAGAAAUGUGUGACAAAAAGUUAGAAACUAUUUCAUAAGUUAAAUUCUUUUAGAGGAAGAAGUUAUAAAGAUUCAAUAAGCACGUAGAAUAGUAAAAUAGAAAUUAUUUCGUGCAUCAUGUAUAUAUCUAUAUCUUGUACACUGUAUUUCUAAAUUCUAUUAUAAAAAUUCAAACUCAGUAAUUUUUUAUAUGAUGUAAAUUAUAUCUAUAAAAUUAGGUUUGAUUUUACUAUAUUUAUCUUUAAAAAAUUGAUCCAAUUCAUGUGAUGUAUUAAUAGACCUGGUGUAAACAAUAAUUUCUCAUAUUUGUAAAGGAAAGAGAGAAGAGGAGGAUUAAGGAGAGAGUAACACAUGGCAAAAAAUACUCUCUUCAUAGAUAUACUAGUGUAGUGACCCGUGUGAUGCGACGGAUAGAUAAUUGAAAAAAAAAACGAUGACAAAGGAAGAGAAAAUGGCAAUGAAAAAAACGACGAUGAAGGAUGGGAUUCAUUUUACCAAUGAAGGAAGGUAACAGUAGAAGGAAGAGGAAGAGGAACAGUCACGCCCACUGCAGAGAUAUGACUCGGUUCUAUUCAAGCAAAUAAAGGGAAAUCCGGUUCAAUUCAGGCAAAAAAAAGAAAAACUUGAAUCGGUUCUGAGUGGAGUCCACACUCGACGGUGAUCGGUUUGGUUCAAGCAAAGAAAGAAAAAAAAUUCGGUUCAAAGAUAGAAACAUGUGGAGUAGUUUAACCAGUUUAGCCUAAUGCAAUAGGUUGGCCCUAUUCAGUUCAAAUAAAGAAAGAGAAAACUAGAUUCAGUUCAAACAAAAAAAAAGAGAAACAUGUGGAAGACUUGAGCCACUUUGAGUGAAAAAAAAAAAAAAAAAAAUCGGUUCGGUUCAAGCGAAAGAAAAUAAAAAUAUGUGGAGAACUUGAGCCGGUUCGAGGUUGAGCCUACACUCAACAAAUGAAAAAAAUGUUGCCAUGUGGCAAUUUAGGAGGAGUAAUGUAUAAGAUAUAGAUUUCUAUAAAUAUUUCCAUAGAUAUGAUCUUCGAUUGAACAUGUAUUUCAAAUUUGUGCACAAAAAGAAGAUGGAAUCUAUUCAUAAUCCAAUUAUUCUCGUCAUAUAUAAUAUAGUAAAACAAUAUAGAGCUAUUAGAAAUAAAUUAAUUAAGAGCCUAGGCUAUUUGAUGAUAAAUUAUUAAGCUACCGUUUGGUUGGGGGUUAAGGGGUGGAAUAACCCCUUAACCCCCAAUUUAUACCCAAACACCAUGAAAAAAGGGUGGGGUUUACUAACCCCACUCCCCCUCCCAACUUUAACCCCGCACGCAUCCCGAGUCCUCACCUUUUUCUUUUUUAUCAAUCAUUAACCCCACUCCCCUUCCCAACUUUAACCCCGCACGCAUCCCGAGCCCUCACCUUUUUUCUUAUUUAUCAAUCAUUAUCUUCUUAUCCCACCUACUCCAACCAAACACAAAAAAAUUUUAACACCACUUUAACCCUGAACUUAACCCUAUCCCUGGUAUAGCUACUUUUUCCUUAACCCCGAACCAAACGAAGGCUAAGUGUUCCUUACACCGAGGCUUCUAAAACUCGAAUCUAGAUAAUUUAAAAUCCAAUUUUAAGUCAUUAGAUGUAACCUAUAACUCCUAAAUAGUUUAUACACAAAAAAUCUUCAUCAAAUACAUAGUUUAAAAAGAAAAAUUAAUUGUACGUAUACAAAAAAAUAUAUCUACUAUUUGUUCUAAGACAAAAGGGCUAUUAAAGAGGCAACACUGUCUCUCCUUCUCCUCUGCUCCCCUGAUUACUUUCCUCUUACUCUGUUUUGGGCUUUAAACAGAGCUUCAAGAAGCUUCUACAGGAAGCUAGACACCCGACUCUGACUUAAGUUGGUUCAAAACUAACUUUAGUUGCCUAUUAACAGAUGUGAGGUUCCCACACCAAAGGCAACAAUGUGGAUGAGUUUCUAUAGAGAGUGAGGAUGUGUAAGAGGUGUGUAGAAGUCUUUCUUGUUGAGGAGGAAUUCUACGCUGUCACACUUGCACCACGUCAUCAAUAACAAGCCAAUCACAUUCCUUCUUUUCAAACAAAAGUACAAUAAAAAUAUUUUUUUACAAUUAUGACGGGACAUAUAUUUUUAAAAGAAUUAAUUUGAUUAGUUUGUUACGCCACGUCACUAAUAUACCCGUUGCAUUCUAGAAUUUUUCCUUGUUGAGAGAGGUACUUAGUGUCCGAGUCUUUGCAACUUCGGGUGUGAAUGUGUGCAUGUGAGUCGACCACAAAUAAUUGUUGUAUGUGAAGGAUUAUUUUUUAUAUUGUUAUUAUUUUUGGUUUGCCAAUAUUCUAUAGGCUACGAAAAUUAUAAAUUUUAAUUUCUACGUAUGUUUCAUAAAACAUAUCUCAUGGUUUACAUUUGAACAUUAAGACUUGUUAGUUUGAGUUGCCGAGAUUCCUGUGUAUACCACAGUGCAUGCAAUAAGCAAUUUUUCUAGCUAAUAGAACAAGGAAGUAGCAAUUACAACAAAAUAAGCAACAAAAAGAAGUACAAUAUAUCAAGGAAGAAUUAAUAAAUUAAGCAUUAAUAAAAGAUCGUCUCCUAGCUUUGCACUACUCAAAUAGAUAUUAUGCAUUAUAUAUAUCCGGUAAUAGAAUAAGAAAAAUAAGAAAGACAAUCAAACGAUAUAAAAUGUAAUCACAAGAGUAAAUAAUGCAAGAAAUUAAUGCUCGUACCCGAAUGGCUAAACGCCUGUGAGUUUAUUUGCGAAAGAGAAAGAGCAGCAGAAGCCCAAUAUUCCCACGAGAUCUAAACAACCUUCAACAUGCCGAAGAAAGCAAUUAGGAUGGGAUAUAUUUAUAAGCGAGAAUGAGAAACAAACGAAUUAAUUAACAUGCGACAAAAGUGAUUCUUUGCUUGUCACUUUAGAAAGUUAUCGAUUCCAAAGCAAAUUAGUUAAAAACGACAUAGACAUGUGCAUAUAUACAGCUGGGUAUUCUUUGCUCCUUCCAUACUCUUGGGUCGUUUACUUUAGAAGAUUGUUAUUUAUAUAUUCUCGGGUUGAUCUAUAGCUAUUGGAGUUUUGGUCUAAUCUAAACACGCUGUGAUAGAAUUCGAACAAAUCUAUAAGAAUUUGUCUAACUCAAAAGCUUAAUUAGUAUUCUCUUUAUUAAUUGGCAGUAAAUCAUAAUAACGUACAAUUUCGUGGAUACCAGUGAAUUAUAUUGUUUGUAAUGAAUGGAAUUGCAUUGAAUUCUAUUUAGUGGGUUUUGAAACAUAUAUUAUUAAACAAAUUAAGUCGAUCCAAUUGAGAACAUUUCAGGAGGAAACACUUGGCUCAAUUCGUGUCGGUGGAUAACAGGAAACCGGCAAAGCAUUUGUUAUGCAUUCUUUUUCUUUUUCUUUUUCCUUUUUCCCUUUUUUAUUUUAAAGGAAACCGAGAAUUUAAACCAUGUAUAUGCAGAUCCAUUUGGUUGUGUUGCAAAUCGGUUUUGAAAUCCUUGGAGGAAGCCAAUAAUUAACCUGUUUUUAUUUGAAACCAAAUGCUUGGAGGUAACAAAUUAAACUGUCCAAUUAAUGAUUCACCGGUGAUUAAGAGUCAAGACCAAUACAUUGUACAGACCAACAUUUGACAAAAAGGCUUCUUACUCCGUUGUGGUCAGUCCGGACACGAUCCUAUGGCGGUGGAGUACUACUGAUGGACACUUUUCGGUCAAAUCAACCUACUAGGCCUUGAUGGACGGCGGGACGAGAGAUGCACGUGCCCCUGUUCUAUGGAACCUUAAAAUCCCUCUAAAAGUGAAAGUGUUUUGCUGGUUGAUUCUCAAGAAAAGAAUUCUUACACGUGAUAAGCUUGCUAAGAGAGGGUGGUUAGACGACCCUACCUGUGUACUAUGCGGGUCGGAGGAGGAAACUGUGAACCAUCUAUUUACCAGCUGCGUUUUCUGUAAAUUCAUUAUAGCGACAGGGGUGGACGAUAUUCAGGCCCAAGACCUCGGGAGGAAAGUCAGUCUCGUGUGGUAUAGGUGGAAGGUCAGGAAGGAUAAACAUAAGAAGCGAUCUCGGCUUGCCGAUCUAGUCGCCUGCUGGUGGAUCAUUUGGAAGAUCAGAAACGACUCAAUCUUUCGUAAUAUUCCCCCGAACCUUGGGAUUGCGGUUUACAGACUCAAACUUCUUGUGAUGGAUUGGGACCUUCUUCUCGGGCCAUAAACAUCUAUAAGUAAUUUUGUGUGUGUGUGUGUGUGUGUAUUUUUUUUUUUUUUUUCGGGGCCUGGUUGCCUCACACUUGUAGCUUAAUUCACCUCUCCAAUGAAUGAAGCGGGUAGCGUGCUACUUUUUUGUCAAAAAAAAUAUUUGACAAAAAGGCAUAAAUAGCUCAUUCAUUAGAAGAUUAUAAGAUCCUAAAACAUGCAAAUUAACUGGUCGAUCACCAAAUGGUUAUAAUUCUAAGGAGAUUAAUUCAUUAAUUAACCUAGAGAUAAGAUACGCAUAUAUGGAAUUAGAACCUAGCUAAUUAACAUUAGAAUUAAUAAAUUAUAAUCUUCCAACAAGUACUAGCUAGCUACAGCAGUGCCACCCUGCUUGGCUUUGGCGUUGUUGGCGCCACCCAACUCGAGAUUUGAAUUUGCCGCGGCGACGUGGACGUCGUCGUCGUGAGCAAGGAAGUGGCCCCAGAACCAGUGGGCCCUCCAGACGAGCAGCAUCUCCUCGAUGGGGACGUUCUUGGUCUCCGGGAGGAAGAGGGCGAUGAAGGCGGUCAUGAGCACGACCCAGGCGGCGAAGAAGAAGAAGAGGAAGUACUUGAGGUGGCAGAGCAUGGCCAGGAACGCCUGCGCCACCCCGAACGUGAACAGCAUGUUCACCGACACGUUGAUGCUCUGCCCCGCCGACCGGAUCUCCAGCGGGAAGAUCUCGCUCGGCACCAGCCACCCCAGCGGCCCCCACGACCACGCGAACCCCGCCACGUACAGGCAGAUGAACAGCACCACCACCGCCGCGUACCCCCGCGACAGCCCCUCUUCCGCCUCCCCGCUCAGCCCGAACUUCUUCGCUAUCAGCGUCCCCACUAUCACCUGCGUACGUGAAUGCAAUUCAUUCAUUCAUUCAUUAUUUGAUAUGCAUACACGCGUGCAUGCUAACGUAUAGAAUUGCUGACUAGAUGAUAUACCUGACAAAUGAGCAUCUGGGCGCCGCCUUGGAGGAAGAGCUUGCGGCGGCCAACCUUGUCGACCGUCGCUAUGGAAACCAAUGUGGCGAACGCAUUCACCAACCCGGUGAUCACCGACGACAUGAGGGAGGCAUCGCCGCCAAAGCCGAUGGUCUUGAAGAGCACCGGAGCGUAGAACGUGAUGACGUUGAUGCCCGUGAGCUGCUGGAACGCGGGGAUCAGCACGGCCAUCGUCAGCUGCGGCCGGUACUUGCGCUUGAUGAUGUUCGCCCACGGGUGCUUGACCAGCUUCGACUCCUCACUGGCGGCGAUGAGGUCGUUGAACUCGUCGAGGAUGUCGUCGGUGCCGCGGAUGCGGCGGAGCAUGCGCUUGGCCCGGUCAGCGUGGCCACGCUCGAUGAGGGAGUUGGGGGUGUCGGGGAGGAACAGAGAUCCGACGGCGAUGAUGGCUCCGGGGAUGGCCGCGAGGGCGAGGCUGAUGCGCCACCCCCACCCGCCCUUGAUCUUCGCCGUCCCGUAGUUGAUGAGAUUCGCGCAGAGGAUCCCGAUCGUGAUCAUCAACUGGAACCCGAUGUUCAGCAUGCCGCGGAGCCGCGCCGGCGCCAUCUCCGACAGGUACAGCGGCACCGACUGCAUCGUACAUACCAUUUAAAUACCAUGCACGAACAUUUAAUAAAUAAAUUUGCUCUAUUAAUUUCUAGUAGAGAUGAUUCUGAUGAUAACUUGAAAAUCCUUCUGAAAGUAUGUCGACAUAUUAUACUUGAUUGGCGAAGCCGACGCCGACGCCGAGCAGGAUGCGACCGAGUAUGAGCAUGAGCACGUUCCUGGCGGCGCCGUUGACGGCGGCGCCGGCGAGGAAGGUGACACCCCCGCCCAGCAUGGACCACUUCCGGCCGAACACCCGCGUGACGGACGACGCGAAGAAGGAGGCGAUCAGCGCCGCCAGGUAGAGCGACGACGUGAACGCCGUCAGCAGCUGGCUGUCGAACUUGCAGUACUGGUUCGCGCUCUCGUCGGCCUUCUCCUGCCGGUACACCGACGGGAAGAACUUCAUCAAGAACGGGUCCAUCGACGUCACUCCCCCUAUUUCCAACAAAUCAUGCAAACAAUAAUUACAUAAUUAAACAAACAACAUCCGAAUCGUAUAAAUUAAACAACCGCUCAUCUCUACUCUACUAUUUUACGUACGAUCAAGCUUUUAUUUUAUCUCACGACGCAUGCAUGCACGUAGAAAUGGCGCGGACGUAGCAUUUUGAUUUUCUUUUCUGAUAUAAUAAAUUAAUCAACUAAUUAGUUACCGGAGAUGCCGAGGUCGUAGCCGAAGAUGAGGCCGCCGGUGGCGGCGACGAAGCAGGUGAAGAGGACGUAGAGGGUGAGGUUACCGGGGUAAUCUCUACCACCUCCUCCAUUGCUCACGAUGACCGCUCCCGCCAUUAUGAAUUUCAAAAGAGAAAAAAAAAAAAAAAGCUCCGGAGUUAACAACACUAAAGCCUAAGUAACCAAGCUUAAACUAAUUAAGCUUUGUUAUUAGUGGUAGCAGUAGUGAGUAACAGAUAAAGGGGAGGGUUUUGAGGUGGGGGGGAUGGAGGGAUGUAUUUAUAGGGCAAUAGAGGGGGUUUUACAUAAAAAAUGGUGACGUGGCGGAUUAGUUGGGGGCGGAAUAGGUGGGAGAGGGAUAGCGCGCGGUGGACUCGCCCCAACUUGGAACUAACUCCGCAUCAUUUUUGGAGUGGGUUCGCAAUGGAUAGGAGAUCUCCGCCGUCCAUUUUGUUUGUAUGACUCGGCUUGCUACAGCAUCUUAAUUAGCUGGAAUUCUUAGUCUUUUCAUUUCAAUUUUAUUAUUAUUAUUAUUAUUAUUUUUGAACUAGUUUUGUAAGAAAACUACUUGUGUAAGUUAGUGAUUAUAUUUUUUUGGCAUUUUUUUAUUGAUUUUUUUCAUUUUUUUUCUAUCUCGGACAUAUAGAAACUAAUUACUCACUUUAUGGCAUUCAAGAGAAUACGAUAAUGUAAUCUCUUUGUAUCCUUUUUGGGAUGAUAAGAUUCAUGACAAUGUAGCGUAUUAAUUGUUCAUAAGAGACAAUUUGUGUGGAUCACAAAUAUCUACAGUUUAUCCUUCAGUAAAUGCAAAACUAAUGAACAUUAUUUGAGUUCCGACUUUAAGACCAAAGGUCCAAACCUCCUUGUGUGCUUAAAUAGUGACCCAAGCUUCAUCUUUAAUAUUAUUUAUUACUGUGUGAUGUAUGAGGCUUAUAGGAUGCAAGAUUUUUCUUUUUUGAAAAAAAAAAAAAAAAUUGUUGUCUUUUUCUUAAAGGGCCUUAUAAAGAAAAGGUCCAUACUUCUAGACAAUGGGCUCCAUUGAGAGGUGGCUUGUGACCUGGCCUGGCUACCCAAUGCCUGUUAAAAAUGGGCUGUACUAAUAGUCUAUAUGACAAUAUUUGAGCAUAUCAUACUCAAGUUGAAUCACAAGUUAAAAAAGUUAGAAACGCCAAAUUUUACCGAACUAAGAAAUAAUUAGUCGACACCAAAACAAUCCGGUGCCAAAAAAAAAAAAAAAAAAAAAAAAAAGAAAAAGAAAAAGAAAAGGAGAUUUGGAUGUUAAACAUCAAAAUUCAUGUAAAAAAAAAAUGAUGAAAUGAGUAAAAAUAACAUGGCCAAUUUGCAUAAAAAAUUCACUUAUUUUGGACUUUUGCAAAACCGGGCCAUUUUUUCGUUUUUGCAGAUUCGGUCAACUUUUUCAGCAAACUGACCAAAAUACCCUUUUUACUUUUUCUCUUUCCUCUUUCUCUCUCCUCUUCGUUUCUCUCGUUUUUUUUUUUUCUCGCCGGCAGAGCGGAGGCGGAAACGGUCCGUCUCGCCUCUCACCCUCAUUCUCUAGCCCUCGCCCUCGCCCUCGCCCCUGCCCUCGUCCACGCACCCCCCACCUUCCUCGCCUCCAACCCCGCCAAGGUCGCGCCACGACUUUUUUUUUUUCUUGCUUUUCUUUUCUUUUCUCUCGGACUCUUCUCCACCGUCUCGACGACGAUGCCUCUCUCGUCCUUCUCAUCCUUCCCGCCCUUCUCAUCUCUCCUUCUCCCUCAUUCUCUGCCGCCUCCGACGACGAUGCAUCUUCGCCGGCGCCGACGUUGACACCGUGGAGGUCACUGCGGCGCUACAGACUGGAGUGGGGUCCUUAGCGGUGUCGUCGCCGCACCGUGGCUUGUUAGCAGAGAAGGUGACAAAAAAAAUUAUAGAAAAACAGAAAAAAAAAAUAAAGAUAAAAAAUUAUAUAAAAGAAGGAUAAACUCAAAUUGGUAUCGUUAACUGCAAAAAAAUUAUAAGUUGCACCUAUUUAAGAUGUAAACUGCAGCUUUAAGAUGAAAACUACACUCUUUAAACGAAAAUUACACUCUUUGAGAAAUAUUUACACUGUUUCUCUUCUUAUUACACACUCUUUCAGAUGUAAACUGCAUCCAUUAAGAUGAAAGUUACACUCUUUAAAAAAAAUUGCACUGUUUCUUCUAUUUGUUCGCAACAUUUCUCCUCUUGUUACACUGUUUUUUUAUCUUAAACUUCAUUUUAAGAGAUAUUUAUACUGUUUCUCCUCUUGUUGCACCAUUUUUGUGUAAAUAAGAGGAGAAAUAGUGCAACAAGAGGAGAAACAGUGCAAAAAGAGAAGGAACUGCACUGUUUUAAGAGAUAUAUAUACUGUUUCUCUCUUGUUGCACCGUUUCUGUGUAAACAAGAGGAGAAUAGUGCAAAACAAGAGGGAAAGGGAAAUGCACUGUUUUAAGAGAUUAUAUUUACUAUUUCUUCUCUUGUUGCACUGUUUCUCCUCUUGUUGCACCUUUCUUGUAAAACAAUAGUGAGAAAUAGUGCCAACAAGAGGAGAAACAAUGCAAUAGAGGAGAAACUGCACCCUUUGAAAGAUAUUUAUACUGUUUCUCUCUUUUGCAUUGUUUCUCCUCUUGUACCAUUUCUGUGUAAAUAAGAGGAGAAAUAGUGCAACAACAGGAGAAACAGUGCAACAAAAGGAGAAACAGUAUAAAUAUCACUUAAAAGGAUGCAGUUUAAGAUAAAAAAUAGUAUAAUUUUCGUUCAAAGAGUAUAAUUUUUAUCUUAAAGCAGCAGUUUACAUCUUAAAUAGUGCAACUUAUAAUUUUUUUUGUAAUUAACGAUGUAAUUUCAUCUUCAUCCUUCUUUUUAUAUAAUUUUUUAUCUUUAUUUUUUUUUUCUGUUUUUUCUAUAAUUUUUUUGUCACCUUCUCUGCCAACAGCUACGGCGCCGAUGACGGCGCCGGUGACGACGCCGCUAAGGACCCCCCGCUCCGAGGCUGUAACGCCGCAGUGACCUUUACGGUGUCGACGUCGGCGCCGGCGAAGAUAAAUCGUCGUCGGAGGCGGCAGAAAAUGAGGGAGAGGGAGAGAUGAGAAGGGCGGGGAAGGGCGAGAGGCGUCAUCGUCGGAGACGGUGGAGAAGAGUCGGAGAAGAAAAGAAAAGAAAAAAACAAAAAAAAAAAAGUCGCGGCGCGGCCUUAACGGGGUCGGAAGCGAGGAAGGUGGGGGGUGCAUGGACGAGGGCAAGGACGAGGGCGAGAGCAUGAGGGUGAGAGGCGAGACGGACCGUUUCUGCCUCCGCUCCGCCUCCGGCGAGAAAAACAAAAAGAACAAGAGAAACGAAGAAGAGAGAGAAAGAGGAAAGAGAAAAAGUAAUAAGGGUAUUUUGGUCAGUUUGCUGAAAAAGCGGACCGAAUCUGCAAAAGUGAAAAAGGUGGCCCGAUUUUGCAAAAGCCCAAAAUAAGUGGAUUUUUUAUGCAAAUUGGCCAAAUAACAUCUGCAACAGAGAGUUGCCAGUAAAAUCAUACUUCACAUGCUCCCAACAAAUUCUUUAACUGCAGUUGCAAAAUUAGCAAUAUAAUAAAAGGCAUCCCAAUUGUUUAAGAAGGAUAGCACAAACUUCUCUAAUAGUGUUGGGUUAGUGUUGGGUUCUCAUUCAACUAUCCAUGUGAGCAUUUUCUUCUUUUUAUGUUUCUACAUCCAAAAUCCAAAAUUUGACUUAUAAUCGCAAUUUAUCCAUCCAAAGUAAUUAUAUAUACUUCCUUGUUAGCUACUUAAUAGUCAAUGCAUUCACUUGGUGACAUUCUCUUUAUCUUUUCUUCUCCUCGGUAACCAUGCUAAUCGUUAAAUUAAAUUACAUUAUUAACUUCUUUUAAGCCACACACACAAACUGCUAAUGCGUUACUUUGCAUCGUGUUGCUUGAUUAAUUUAACAUGUAAAUUAAUCAAGCAUCAAAAUAUCUACCUAUAUAUAAAAAAGCUGGUUUGCGCUAAACGCUGCUAUUCGAUGCAAUCGAUGAGUCAAUGGAGUGCCCUUUUUAUUUCUUCUCCUCUUUAAUCACUUCUUUUGAUGCUCAUUUGACAUCCCCAAACCCCAAAAAGCAGGGAAGUGUCAAGAAGUUACAUAAUCGAUGCAGGAUAAAUAAAUAAACACAUAAAUUUAUUUUAAUUACUCUGGCACUGUGCUAUAUAGAGCAGAUCCUUUACCAGCUAAACCAAGAAUGUUUCCAAUAGAAAAAGUUAAUAGUACCAUGUAAUUUUUCUGCAGUGAAACACAACAUGGUUAGAGAAACUGACAUUUAUUGUGAUCUCAUGCAGCAGAGGUCUCAUUACAUGUUUCUGCUGUGUGUAGAACAUUGAAGGGAAUGAAAGAUAAAGCUGAAGAAAGGUUCUGAAGAGUAACCAACAUGUAACAUGUUCUAGUACUAUAUCAUCACUGACACUUCAUUCUGUGACAAUAAAUGUGGUCUCCCCUGCAUUGCCUCAUCACAUCUACCUUCCUAGUGAAUAUUUGCUGGGUCCUAAAUUACACCAAGAAUCCUCCAACUACAUCACAUUUUACUAGAAGACCCUUAAUUUCAUGUUUUUCAUAAGCAGCCACUCAAAACAUUCACUUUCCUAAUUUGAUAAGUUCUGUUUAUUUCAGCGAUUUUGUUCGAUAGAAAUUGAAGUUCAGUGCAUGUUGUAAACGCGACAGUGAUGCUCUGUAUCUAACAAAUAUAAAGAACCUCAACCACUUCUAUUUAACAUUCUUUACCAACUUAUUACAUAUUACGAGCAAUUUACACAGUGAAUGUUGGAAAUAUUUCUUUGCUAGUCCUCUGCAGCCUCUGAAGAUUUCCAAAGACAUGGAAUCUCAACAAAAGCUUGUCUACUCAUGCAUGGGGUAGGCGAAUUAAGUGACAAAAGUGUUAGAGGGUAGAAUUGAUUAGAAAACUCACUCAAUUUUAACUCCAAAUUCCAUUGAACAUGCUCCGAAUUCGACCGCCCGCGAGCUUCUUAACGAUCUUCUUCGCAUCUGACACAUUGAACUCAGCGAGCUUCUCCAGGUGCUUGACAUAAUCCGAAGACAUGAUCUUCCUCCGCCCGCUAUUGCUGUCGGUUAUGUACAUUAAGACCGAGAGCAAGAACUUCUUCGUCACCGACUUCUCUUCUUCCGGUUUUAGCAGCUGCAGAAUCCGGCUCACGUUAUGCUCGUCCUGAAUAAACCUGCGCCGGUUUCUCUGCACUGAGAUAAUGCUGCAGAGCGCCUCGGCCGCCAUUUCGCGAACGUGAGAGGACGAGACGUCGAUCAUCCGCACGAGCUCAGGCAUGAAGCCGGCGUCGCCCAUGGCCUUCUUGGCCUCAGCGGAGAGUCCGCACAAGCGGCACGAGGCCUUCAGUGCGGAUUGCUGGAUCGAGAUCUCGCCGUUCUUUAUGAAGAAGAGGACCUGGUUUAGGAAUCCAGAGGCGAUCAAACGGUUCGUCGAGCUUGUAGAAGAGAAGGAGAGGGCUUCAAUAGCCCGGAGAGCGACCUCUCUUGACUUGGAUGAGUGAGGAGAGUUUGGGUCCAAGAACCGAAGGAGCAAUUCGACUACUUCUUCUUUACUCAUUCUGCGUUCGACUAAAUGCUCCGAGGAGAAAAUGGCGGCGAGGAAUUCAAUUGCUUGUAUCUGAAUCACCUCCUGGGUUGAAUUCAAGAGAUUUACGAAGAUGGGGAUUGCUCCGUCUUCUAACAUGAACCGCUUGAUCUCCUCAACUGCGCUCAGGCUCUUCAGAACGCUACAUGCCGAGCAAACCAAUUCCGAGCCGCUGUUAACAUCGCCGCAGACUUUAAGAAGCGCUGUGACGCCUCCGUGGGCGCACACUGACCAGGCAUUGUCGGAGUUCUCUGUGAGCUUCUUCAGAGCGCGCGCCGCAGCUUCUUUCGCGAGCCCGCUCCCGGUCUCAAGUAUCUGAAUGACCGGGGCUAUAGCCCCGGCGAUCACAACCUCUCCUCUGUAGGAAUCGAAGCCGGAGACUAUACAAAUCGCCUCUAAGGCAUUUUCUCGAACACCUGCGUGGCCAUUUUCCAAAAGGCUCACCAGGAACCCGACACCGCCGUGGUCUUCCUCCGUCGCCAAGAUCUUCACAUACCUAUCGUCCUCACUGAGAACGCCAUUAAGCGAUUUCAACGCCUCGAUCUUCAUUUCGAAAUCUCCGACCCUCGCCCGCGAUAGCAGAUCCCUUGUAUAGAACCUCGCGUCCUCUCGGCUCGCGCCGGGGCCGGGCUUGGGCACAACAAUGGCAGUACAGUGCGCGAGAGCGCCCUGUGAGUACGCCUCCGCAAGGUGUUUGAUGUGGGCUCCGAGCUUCGCAGAGGCGGCGUCGAGGUCGCUCUGCAGCAGUAGCCUCCCGCCGCCGUAGGACUCGUCGGCGCAGCGGAGGGCGAUGCGGUGGGUCUCCUCCGCAGUGGACGCAAUGGCCUGCAACAGCUCGGAGAGCUCCGGACUCCGCCGAUUGGCGGAGACUGCGGCGGCGGAGAGAUCGGAGUGGAGGCGCUCGAGAUUUUCGCGAAUGGACCGCCAUUUGGCGGGGAAGGAUCUGAUGGAGUAGGAGGAAGAGAUCACUGAAGUGAUCAGAUGCAAUGCUUUUGCGACAAAUGAGGGUGUUUCUUCUUCUUCUUCUUCCUCUUCCUCUUCUGCUGCUACUGCUGCUGCUGCUGCUGCUGCUCUCAUCUUUGGUGAUGCACGAAGGAAUACUGGAACAGAUACACAAACUUUGUAUGGUUGAGAGAGUCUUUUAUGUGUAGAUAGAUAAAUGGGGUGGUCUUUUGUUUGGUGUAUAUGUGUAAUGGGUUGUUGUUGUUGUUGUUGUUGUUGUUGUUAUGCUCAUGAAUCAGUUUGUUGUAGGUUGUAAGUAAAUGUAAAACCGCUGCAUUAAUGGGCUGGCUUUAUUGGGUGUGCCAAUGUGCGUCUGGUAACUGAAUGCAGAAAAUGGUGGCGAUUAGAAGGCUGAACAUUGGGAUGGGUGCACUAUGGUUAGCUACAGUAGAGCUCAGAUUUUCAGUAAAUUUGGUUAAGUAGAAAAUUCUGCACACCGAUUUAUCUUGAUCAUUGUUUGGUGCGCAAAAGUUUUCGUAUAUCAAUCUGAUUAUGAGGUAAUAGAUUAGAAAUAAUUUCAACUUUUGGUUUGGUUUGAUCCUUGAUAGAAAAGGAAAACCUUUUUUAAGGCUGCUGUAGCUAUAUGUCUAAAAAGUAAGGAGCAAAAAAGUAAGAGAGUAAUGAGUAAUGAAUGUGGAGUUAAUGUAAAGGCAAAGUCCACAGUUGUAGCCAUAGUUCCUGGACCACUUUUAAGAUGGUCACUCUCCUUGAAGGCAUAACACCUUGGCAUAUCCACAAUUUCUCAGCCCAAGCUAGGGAUCAAAUUGCAUUGCCAUUCCCCCCACCCCCAUGUGACUCUCCUUUGUUUGGAUUUGGAUCCCUAAACAUAGCCCCUUGUGGUGUCACAUUCUAGAGAGAGAGAGAGAGAGAGAGAGAGAGAGAGAGAGAGAGAGAGAGAGAGGGAGGGAGAGAGAAGGGACUACUUUUUUAGUGUAGGGUAGAGACUAGAUACCAGACACUAGAUGGUGUGGAGAAAAAAAGAAAAGGAGCCACUCAAAUAGAGCUAAAGGAGUGCAUAGGAAACAAAGUUGAAAGGAAGCAAGGGAAAUAGAAGAGGGCCACUACAUUGAAGAUAAAAGAGGAUAAGCUUUUUCUAGGAGAUGGAUAAAGGAUGCAUGCACAGGCCUUUAAUAGUGUUGGUUAGCUUUGAAAGGUGGCAAUAAGAUACCAUGCAGAAACAAACUUUACCAAGAACUACUAAUAAAUCGAUAGGGAAAGAUUUUUAAAAAAAAAAUAAUAAUGAAGAACCAGGUAAAAUAAUAACUAAAAAUCUCCAAAUCAUUGGUCUCUGAUUUUGAUGCCAUUUGUUUGGGAGUGACCAAAGGUCAGUUAUAAACAAAACAGGAAUUGGAGUAUUCAUUGAAACCAAUUGGAGAAGAGGCUUAUAAAUUAACUGAUCAUUUUGUCUGGAUCUAAUAUAUAGUGUACGUGGAUUAAUUAAUUCUUUAGCCUUUGAUCACUGUUCCAACACACGUGAACAGUAGGGUCUUUAUGUGCAUUCCCUAGUCUCCUCUAUGAUCCAUCCCUCUGCAUGCAAUGACAAGGACUGUUUUUAAUAUGCUAAGAACCACCAACUGUUGUUCUUCCAUGCAUGUGAUCUCCGCACCUAUCUAAUCUCCAUUCUCUUCUCUUUUUUAGUGUCGCAUUAUUGGUUAAGUAUUUUUAUUAAGCAAAGUUUUUUUUUUUUGUCGAAGAUAAGAAUUAGAGUUUUAAGGGAUGGACCACCAGGAUAAGAUCAUUGACAGGUAAAGCUGACAUGGUAGUCAUUUUCUAUGUCAAUCUCAUAAAAUCUUGGCUCCAUGUGAUUUUUCAUUGGUAUAGUUGAUAGUUGAUUGUCCCAAUGACAAAAUUACAAGAGGACUAGCGAUUUUUUCUGGUUCAUUUUCAACAUGAAAAGUGCAAGUCAAAAGCACUAUUAAAGUUCUCUCUCUAAAAAGAGAAAAAGAAAAGAAAAAGAAAAGAUAAUUAAAGGUCGGUGCAGUGAAAGGUCCUUUAUUAGUGAAGGAAAUGGUGUUAGUUGCUUCCAAAAUAAAAGAGUAAGGUAGAAGUUAUGGAAGAUAUUAAUAA